rnacentral:lncRNA from 1 species
CGACCUCGCCGACUCACUCAUUAGGUCUAUUCAGGCAUAUGUAGGCAAAAGAAGUAAAUAGAUAGUAACCAACUAUAACAUGUAACUACUACAAUGCCUGUACAAAGCUGAAAGAAAGCAAUAGCUGAAAAUUGUAAGUAUGCAUGCAUACUUUUACUGAAUUUACCCAAUCUUUUGGUUAACCCUCUGGUUAACAAUAACUCACUGACACUAUCCCAAAUAUCGGGGAUACGCAACCUGCACCCGACGGGACUGUCAACUGGGGGAGACGCACCUCCUGGUCCAGUAAAGAUGACUACUCCGGAGCUCAUCGUUCAAGGAGGAGCGACCUACCUUGAACCAAACGAAUGUGAGUAUGAUCUGAUCCUCCUUUAGAGGAUUCAACAAUAGACGAUGUCACACUUUAACUCUAACUAGCUCUUUAUGCUAGUUUCACAAUUUCAUUUCUCGAUGCUAACCAAAUCUCUAGUUAGAAUGUCACCAAGUUCACUAUUGUUAUAGUCCAUGCAUUAUUAGGGUUCUAUGUCCACAUUCUAAUGUUCAUAUGUUCUCACAAUUGAUAAGAAUUCAGAUAUUCAAUGAUCACUUGUACGAUGCCAAUACCCUAUAAUGCAUGACUACAAAUAUAAAUAUGCUCAAUGAACAAUAUAGACAUAAAGAGUGAUUCAAAGAUUUCGGAUAGCACCACCCACCUGUAGUGGUGUCAACAACUAGAAUCCACGUCUCGAAAUGCGUCGACAACUAGCUCUCGCGACUCAGUGUAAAUAGAACUAGAACGGUCUCUACCGUAAUUAGCGCGUCGCCGACCUGUCGGAAAGUCAAUUUAAACUUUCGAGCAUGUUUAACUUUCAUUCAAACAAGUAUAAAAGAAAUCAAACUUGAGUCAUUUCUCAUAUUUUACAAAUUAGCCUUUCAACUCCAAGUAUCCAUGUAUAUGUAUAUACUAUUGUCACGCCCCCGACCGCACUACCCGAAAACGGUACCAAUUUAGCCCCUUUCGAGGGCGGCGGCGUGAUGCCGAACGGACAGAGUCUCCCUGUCCGUCCAAGGCUAACCAACCAGAUUGUGUACAACAAGUCCCCAGGAAUACAACUUGAAUUCAUACACAAUCAAACAACGAUAAUCGAGAGCACAAACAGUGCUAUAAAGACCAACAAGAGCAAGCGAUAUAAGUAAACAGUAUACAAGUAUUCAAAAGAGAGAAACUUAACUAUUAGAGACAUACUUGAAACAUUCAACCUCUUGAUAUCAAUUAACUUUAAUCAUUUGAUACAACUUGCAUUCAUUUUUUCCAAAAUGUAAAUACAUCAAAUCCUCUCCAAAACCUCACCCUAUACAUCAUCUACUCUCAGAAGGUAAAAGCAGGGUGAACUAAUGCAAGUAGGAAGUAAGCUAUCAACCAAUACGCUAGGGCGCUAAGCCCUUGCCGCGAUCCUCCCGCUCGGUCGGGACACUCGAACUAGCACCUGCAACAAGGGUGUGAGAACUACGAAUAGUUCUCAGUGGGUUCAGCCGCCGACUCCGCCGAUCUACCCACUAGGUCUUAAGCAGGCAUAUAUAUAUAUAUAUAUAUAUAUAUAUAUAUAUAAAGCUAAACUGAACUGAAGCAGGUAUGUGAAACAGGUAUAUCAAGCUAUGCCUCAAUCUGAUAUUAUGGAUGCAUGAACAAUAAAUAAAGCUGGGUAAGUAAGCAACUAUGAAGCUAACUACCAUGAACAACAAUAAUGAGUAUGACUCAAUAGGUAACCAAAUCUCAAGGUGAACUCGUGGUUCACAAGCAUAACUCACGUGUAAAUCUCAUAGGGAAAGUCGCACUGAACUACUCCUUGAGACCGCCUGCGGACAGCACACUGACCGUCCAGACAGCACACUGACUGUCUCUCGAGUGACCAACCUCCGGAGUGCACAGCUUGUAGGGAGCGACCCCUCCAAGCGCAGACAGGCUAUGUGAGCAUGAUCAACUCACGAAUAGCAGCAACCUACCCUCUAAGGGUAAUCUCAUCAUGGAAGCAAGGUUUACUUGUACCCAAUUUCAUAGUGUCUCAACUACACUAAUGUUCUCAUAUCAAGGUCAUCAACAAUCAAAUGCCACUCAUCAUAGUUUUCUAACUAGAUGCCACUCGUCAUUUAGACUCAUCAUCAACACUAGUCACAUCAUACUAGUUCUUUAGCAACAUAAGCAUUAAUCAUCUCAUAUAGGAUCUAGAUUCUCAACAUAUAGUUUUCAUGCAUACUAGAUCAUGGAUCAACCAACAAGAUAUAUGGCUACUAGCAUGCAAAUAUAAGCAACAACAAUUAUCUUCUAACCCUAUAUGUAUAUGCACAAGAUGCAAUUUGAUCAAUAUUAGACUUAGACAUAGAAGGUAGCCCGAUUGCUUCGGGAUGGUCACCACCCACCUCGUGGUAGUACUGUAGAGCUAAGAAAUGUGUUCUUUCGCGAUCUUUUUUGUCGCUUCAAAUCCUCGGGCCAACCCAAACCCUAGAGCACUCAAAACGGCGAUAUCUUCGCGCUCACUCGUCGGAUCGACGAACCGUCUUCGCCUACGCGUUUAAGAGCAUAGCAAUUAGGUUUUUGACCCAUCAAAAUAGAUCAAUCCCUCAUAUCUUCAAAAAUUCCAAAAUCAAGCCCUAGGUUUGGCACCCAUAGGAAGCAAUGGUUUCUAGCUUCAUUGUGAGCUAAAUCCAUAUUCUCUAAGUUCAUUAGGUUCUAUUUGAACCAUCAAAACCAACCAAAAACCCUCAAACCCUAGAAAUUCAAUGUUAGGGUUAAGGCUUACCUCUAGGGUUUGCUCCAAAGCACGCCCUAGCUUGAGGAAGAGAGGGAGAAGAGCUUCCUUUUCUUCUCCUUGACCUUCUCUUUCCUUUCUCCUUCUUCUUCUCUUUCUUUCUCUCCUUCUUUCUUCUUCUCCUUCUUCUUGCGGUUAGAGAGAGAGGGGGAGCUUUGAGAGGGAGAGAGAGAGAGGUUAAGUGAGUGAAAGGGAGCAGCUGAGAGAGGGGGUUUAAGUCCUCUAUGGUAACAAAACCCAAAGAGCCCCUCCAUUUUUUCUAUUUUCCCAAAACAGCCCCUACUGUUCGGGCUCCUUGUACCGGUACACGGGUUCUUGCACCGGUACAAGGUCUGGGUGACAGCUGAACCCGAGCGCACCCGAGCCGAGGAGCCGAACCCGAGCGCACCCGAGCCGAGGAGCGCAACCCGAGCGUACCCGAGCGCUCAGUUCCCUCGGUUUCGAUGGGUUUGUACCGGUACAACAGCUCCAGAAUGCCGUUUUCACUCUGUUUCGGCUCCACUUCGCCCGAUCGAUGUCAAAACCAUUCCAACACCUUUGGAACUCAUUUUUGCUCUUCCAAACUUGUUGUAAUGCCGAAUGGAACUUGUCCAAACCGUUCAAUCGCCCACUUUGGCCCAUUUGGCCAAAGUUAGCAAAUAUCAUCGAAUUUCGAUAUCUCACAACUAUCCACAUAUAUAUAUAUUUACAUAGUCUCAAUGCUUUUCAUGCAGCUACUAAUACUAUUUUAUUCAAAAUCAAAGCCAGGUUACUUCAGAUUUUAUUUACAAUAGUCUACACAUAGACCUAUUUACUCGCAUGUUUAUAUCUUGCAUAGCUUCGACUAUUAAUUUCAGCUUCAUAUACUACUUAAAAUUUCAGCAUGUUAAAGUCUCAGAAGUUAAACAACUCAUAAUUAAUCCCUCAUUCUAAGCAGGGAUUAGCAUCAAUUUCAUUUAGAAAUUAGAGCAAAUCAAAUUCAACUUUGCUCUAAUCAUUUCUAAUCUGAAAUUUACUAGAUCUAUUACUCCGUAGCUAGUUCCAACUCCAAUAGUUAAUAGAGUUCAAUGCUGAAAUUCAGUUUCUUGAAUUUCUGCAUAUGCUUCUCAACUCGGGAGUAUUACUCAUCCCUACCCAAUUCAGGUAUGGUACUAGGUACUAUGUAUAUCUGGAUUAGAAGUUUUCUAAGUUGCUCACAGCUCACUAGAGCUCCUUUUCAGCUAAAUUUUCAAUUCGGCAGCUCUAACAAGCCUUUAAUUCAGCUCAACAUUAAAUUUUGCACUAAUGCUGAAAUUUCAGCAUACACACACCUUAAUUAAACCAUUUAGAGGCUUUUUUUAUGCAUAUUCUAUGAUCCUAGAUGAGAAGUUAGCCAUUUACCUUAGUUUCAAAAUUCCUUAUGCUGAUUUCCAAGUCAGCACCUUUGCUGAUUUCUAAUUCAGCAACUUCAAUCAACCUGAAAUCCAGGUCUGCCCAUUUCAGCAGCAAGAAAGCCUUCUAGAAGUCAUCUCUAAGGUAAGUAAUUCAACUUAAUUCAGCUAUAGAAUUAGCUUACCCUAAUUUGAGACUCCUCUAAAUUUCUUUCAGCAUUAACUAACCCAAAGCCCCAAGUCUCAAGUCUGAAAUUCAGCAAUAAGAAAUCCUUUAGAGGCUUCUUUAAAGCACUUACUAUGAUCUCAGCUGAAAAGCAAUUUGCUUGCCCCAAUUCCAAGCUCUCUCCACUGAACUCCCUGCUCUAUAGCAUCCAUUAAGCCCAAGCUCUUAGCUGCCAGUUGCAAGAAACUCAUAUAAAUGUUCUCUCAAAAGUAACUAACCUAUCUAAGAAUAAACACUAACCAAUUUACCUUAGUUAGAUACUGUACCAGUUGUUCAGCAGCAGGAAUUCCCUGCUAGGAAGUUCCUCUUAGCUCGGACCAGCAAGGAAAUCACUCAACGCAUCAGUCUCAUCAACCCUUCUUCAGUUCGGAUCAACUCCUCCACCUGAACCGCAAUCCUCAAGGCUGCCAACCCCAAUUUCCUCAAGCUUUCCUUAGCCUAGAGAGAGAGUAGAAGAAGAGAGAUGAAGGGAGGAAAGAGAGAAGUUUUCAUACGUGUCUCCAUACUCCAGCCAGCUGGGGUUAAGUGAUAAGGAUGAGAAAUUGCAGUUUAACCCCUGAAAAUUGCAAAAGUGCAUUGCAAUCUUCAGAUUUACAUUUCAGUCCCUGAAGCUUACAAUUCAGUCCCUGCACUAAACAACUAGCUGCAGCAGCACUUUGAAGCUUAUUUUGCCCAUCCAACUCACUUCAAGUCCACUCAAGCACUUCCAAAUUACACUAAUAUACCUCUACAAGUUGUCAAAUUAAUUUGGAAGCAAUUAAUUUCCAAUUUGGCAUCAUGUUGAUCAUUUUGAUCAACAUUAACUAGAAAUUUCAGCAUUACUUGAUAGCAGCAGUGAUUGGAGGUUUCUGUCACUUCCAAUUCACUUCGAGCACUUCCAAAGCAUGCCAAAUGAACUCCCAAGCUACCAAAUUAAUUUGAUAACAUUUAAUUCUCAAAUUUGCAUUAACUUGAUCAUUUUUGACCAAGUUAACUAAAAUUUCAGCAUAAGAGUAGCAAUGGCAAUUGGAGGUCUUUGGCACAUCCAAUUCAUUUCGAGUCCACUCACACACUUCCAAAACAUGUCAAUUGCUGUUCUCAAGCUACUAAUUAAGUUUAGAAACACUUAAUUUCCAUUUUAGCAUUAUUGUGAUCACUUUGAUCACAAUUAGCUUGUAAUCCAAUUUCAGCCUAUUACAUAUAUAGAGUUCGGCUAUUACAUUAUCAAUAGUAGCAAGCCCUUGAUACUAUUUAGUUCUCUCUUUAUUUCACUUGUGUAUCUUGUUGAUUACUUGCUCUUCGUUGUUGGCACUAUUUGUGCCCCGUUGAUCGUGUAUGUAUGAAUUUAAUUUUUCUGGAUAAAUUCUUAUACAUGAUCAGAUUGUGAGCCUUGGGCGGGCAGGGGAGUUGCUGCCCGUUCGGCGUCCGUUCGCCGCGCCCGAACCGUACCAAAUUGGUAGGGGUUUGGGGCGGGGGCGUGACAACUGUGGUAUCAGAGCAAUAAGAGCAAGUAAAGAAAGAAAGUCUAGGAUGACCUAGGAGAUCCUAGGUUGGUAAACCCUAAGGCUAUAGGUGCGUGAGUGGAACGUGAACCUAUAACGGUGGUGGGAUUAGUUCGAUUGGGUCAAAGUUGUUGACAUAUCUCUAGUAGUUACUAGAGAUGGGUUCAAGUGGUAUUAGUUCUUGACUUGAGGUGGUUAUGCCGGCGGCCGACGACAUGACGGCAAGAGUCUAGAAUGAAGACACUUGUGUGCUUUCGCCCGAUUUUUGUUGUUGGGUCGUUAUGUGUCGUAAUUGCGACGAAGCGAACGGAUUAAGAUAAUUAACCAAGUAAUUGCGUUUCGGGAGCAAAUGGCACCAAGGGGACGCCCGAGUACGAGAUCUACUCCGGCACCGCCUCCUGAGAUGCCCGAGCAAGCUGAACCGAGUGUGAUGGAUCGGUUGCAGGCACAAGUGACCGCAUUGACCAAUGUGGUGCAGCGCCAGGAAACCCGAUUCGAGCCGCUCUAGGAGCUCUUGGAACGGCAGGUUGCGGCAGCGGCUGCAACGGUGACUGAAGGCGGUGGCCCGCCCGCACCCUCGACUCGUAUACCCGAAGCGACAGAGGGUGAGGGUAUAGCGGUGGUCCCGGUGACGGCACGUCCACCGCCGGCAAUUAUUCCUCAGGCGGCGUCGGGAUCGGCGACACCCGAUGUGACGGACGAAGACGUGGAAGGAGAGCGCGCGUUGGUGGCUCUUAUCAAGUUCAAGAAGUUCAACCCGCCCAUCUUCGAGGGGGAGAAGGUGGAGCCGGCGAUGGUCGAGUCUUGGAUCGACUCGAUUUGCGUACUUUGGAGAGAGAUAGUGUGUAUCUCGCCACCCACUGCUUGGAGAAAGCGGCGAAGGUCUGGUGGAAGCACGUCAAACGUGAUCGACUUCCCGGCCUUCCGCCGAUGCUGUGGGAGGAGUUCAAGAGGGCGAUGUUCGCCAAUUAUUUCCCCGACAGAUUGAAGCGGAAGCUCCAGGAGAAGUUCCGCAAGAUGGAGCAAGGAGACCGCUCAGUAGCGGAGUAUGAUACGAGAUGAUCGAGAUAGGGCCGACUGGUUCUUACGAGAACUUCGGCCGGCGAUCUACAAGGCCGUGCAGAUACUUAAACUCACGACCUUCGCGGAGGUCUUCGACCGAGCACUCUGGGCGGAGCACGGUGACACCCAUGUUCUGGAGAAGCACUAUAUGUUGGCCGAGUCCAAGGACAAAGGCAAGAAGCAUCAAGGCGGCGGUUUAGGGGGACAAGCACGUUCCAAGAAGCUCCCGAAGUAUCCGCGGACUCAGCCAAAGGGCAGUGGAGUGCGACGGUGCGUCAUAUGUGGUGGAAACCACCCGGUGUCGCGUUGUGAGCAGCGCCAAGGCAAGUGCUACAAGUGCGGGCAACUGGGGCACUUUAUACGGAAUUGCCCGGGAGGAGGAGCCUCACCUGCCCCAUCCACUGCAUCGGCGCCGGCGAUUCCGGCCCACUAUAGAAGAGUUCCACCGACGGCCGUGUCGGCGGGACGUGCGAUGAUGUUGCGCCAGCCCGAGAUAGCGCGAUCGGCCCCGAGCGGACGUGUAUUUGCCGCUCAGGUUCAAGCCAAGGAGCCCGCGGUGGCGGAGGAGCAUCGCCUUGUGGCAGGUAUGGUUUUGAUUAACGGAGUUCGCUCCAGGGCUAUGUUUGAUACUGGUGCCACACAUUCGUUCAUCAGUAGAUCAUUCGCACACAUGCAUGACAUACUCAUAGAGGCAAGUGACAAGUGGCGAGUUGAGGGCCCUGGGUCGACAUUUAAUACCUACACGGAAUGCUCAUCGUGUCUAGUACAAGUAGGCGACUGGAUAAUGCCCAUUAGGAUACUAGAGCUCAAGAAUCUUAAAGAGUUCGAUGUCAUACUGGGCAUAGACUCGCUCUCGAAGUAUCACGCAACGAUCGACUGCAAGAGCAGAGUGAUUACAUUUCGUGAGCUAGGACAGAAGGAGUUCACUUAUCGGGCUUGUCAGAGCUUGUGCUUCGCCGCGACGGUGUCGGCGACGAGAGCAAGAAAGUUGGUCAACAGCGGUUGCGUAGCGUUCUUGGCAACUGUUGUAGAAGUGGAUCGAGUAACUCCGACUCUGGAGGUGUUAUCAGUGGUGCGGGAGUUCCUGGAUGUGUUUCCCGCGGAGUUACCGGGGAUACCGCCGGAUCGGAAGAUCUAGUUCGUCAUAGACUUGAUUCCCGGCACUGCGUCGAUCUCGAACGCUCCAUACCGAAUGGCGCCGGCAGAACUGAAAGAGUUCAGGAGUCAGUUACAGGACCUUCUCGACAAGCAAUUCAUCCGACCAAGUGUAUCACCGUGGGGAGCCCCGGUGUUAUUUGCGCGGAAGAAGGACGGAUCGUUACGACUCUGCGUAGAUUAUCGAGAGUUGAACAAAGUCAUGAUCAAGAAUAAGUACCCACUCCCCCGAAUCGAUGAUUUGUUCGACCAGUUGCAGGGGUCGUGUGUACUCGAAAAUAGAUUUGCAGUCCGACUAUCACCAGUUAAAGAUCAAGCCGGUGGAUGUGCAGAAAACUGCGUUCUAUACGCGAUACGGGCACUAUGAAUUCACGGUCAUGCCAUUUGGACUCACGAAAGCUCUAGCGGCGUUCAUGGACUUGAUGAACUAUGUCUUCAGAGAGUUCCUGGACCGAUUUGUCGUGGUCUUCAUAGACGACAUAUUGGUCUAUUCUCGCAGUGACGAGGAACAUGCCGAGCAUUUGAGGAUUGUGCUUCAAGUCCUUCAGGAGGAGAAGUUAUAUGCUAAGUUAACGAAGUGUGACUUCUGGCUCCAAGAGGUCGCAUUUCUAGGGCAUGUGAUUUCUGCUGGUGGAGUUUCAGUAGACCCGAGGAAAGUUGAGGCAAUCAAGGAUUGGCUACGCCCAACGAACGUCACGGAAGUUAGAAUCUUCGUGGGUUUGGCUGGCUACUAUAGGCGGUUAGUGGAAGGCUUUUCAAAGAUAGUAAUUUCACUAACCCGUCUGACUCAGAAAGGCACUAAAUUCGUUUGGAGCGAGGAGUGCGACCGGAGUUUUAAAGAGUUAAAGGAAAGGCUAACUUCGACUCCAGUACUCGCUUUACCAGUGCAGGGCGAAGAUUUCGUGGUCUAUAGCGACACUUCCUAUCUAGGAUUGGGGUGUAUUUUGAUGCAGGGUGGAAAAGUAAUUGCUUAUGCGUCCCGUCAGCUGAAGAACUAUGAAAAGAACUAUCCCAUUCACGACUUGGAGCUAGCGGUGGUAAUCUUUGACUUGAAGCUGUGGAGGCACUACCUGUACGGUGCCCAUUGUGAGAUUUAUACCGACCACAAGAGCUUAAAAUAUCUGUUUACACAGAAAGAGCUCAACAUGUGACAGCGACGGUGGUUAGAACUGCUAAAGGAUUACGAUGUGGAUAUCCUUUACCACCCGGGAAAAGCGAAUGUGGUCGCGGAUGCACUGAGCAGAAAGUCCGCAAAAAACCUCGCUAUGUGGGUUACAAAUCAAACACCCCUAUGGCUGGACAUGGAGCGAAUGAACCUUGAGGUGGUUACUUCCGAGAUUCUGGCUCAGAUGAUGGCACUCGUUGUCCAACCGACCUUGUUGGAGAGGAUCAAGAAUCUGCAACCCGCGGACCCAGAACUCCAAAAGGUGCGGCGCGACACUGAGAAGGGUCAUGGCGGCGAUUUCACGAUAGACGCCGAUGGUGCACUUCGAUUCCGAAAUCGAUGGUGUGUGCUGAACAAUAAGGAGAUUCGAAGGUUAAUCUUGCAAGAGGCACAUUGGUCGCCUUAUUGUGAUCACCCGGGCGGCACCAAAAUAUAUCAAGGAUUGAAAACGCACUAUUGGUGGCCUGGAAUGAAGGGUGAUGUUGGAUGCUUCGUGGCGAAAUGUUUAGUGUGCCAACAAGUGAAGACGGAGCGUCAAUUUCGAGCGAGAAAACUACAAAGCCUACCAAUCCCUGUUUAGAAAUUGGAGGAUAUAUUGAUGGACUUCGUGGUAGGUUUGCCUCGCUCAAUUGACGGCCAUGAUGCAAUUUGGGUAAUUGUGGACCGAUUGACGAAGUCGGCUCACUUUUUGCCGAUCCACAUCACGUGGGCAGGUGACAAGUUGGCACAGGUAUACCUUGACGAGAUAGUUAGGUUACACGUGGUGCCGAAAUCGGUCGUGUCAGAUCGCGACCCCUGGUUUGCCUCACACUUCUGGAAGAGCCUGCAGGAAGCCCUUGUCACACGGCUCAAUUUAGUACAACAUUCCAUCCUCAGACAGAUGGGCAAAUAAAAAGGACCAUUCAAACUCUGGAGGAUAUGCUGCGGGCGUGUAUCAUCGACUAUAAGGGGAGUUGGUGUGAUCAUUUGCCGAUGGCCGAGUUCGCCUACAAUAACAGUUAUCAUGUAAGUAUAGAGAUGGCACCGUUUGAGGCCCUCUACGGGCAAAAGUGUCGGUCUCCUAUACACUGGAGCGAUGUGGGUGAGCGUGCAGAGUUCGGCCCAGACGUGUUGCGAGAAGCGGAGGAGAAAGUCCGCCUUGCUCGUAAGCGAUUGCUCAUGGCGCAGUCGAGACAGAAAAGCUAUGCUGAUAGGCGCCGUUGAGACAUAGAAUUUGCGGUGGGUGACUGUGUAUUCUUAAAAGUUUCGCCAAUGCGGGGUGUGAAGCGGUUUGGAGUGCGGAGAAAGUUAAGUUCCCGGUACAUUGGACCAUAUGAGAUAUUGGAGCGAGUUAGCACGGUGGCCUAUCGACUUGCCUUGCCGCCGAAGCUCGCGGAUGUAUACAAUGUGUUCCAUGUCUCCAACCUUUGCAAGUACAUUUAUGACCCCGAGCACGCGAUGCUAUAUGAGCCGCCAGAGCUCCAAGAAGACUUGAGCUACGAGGAGUUUCCGGUGAUGGUUAUCGCCCGAGAAGUGCGAAAGCUGCAAAAUCGCGAGAUUCCCUACGUGAAAAUCCGGUGGAACAAUUAUGAUGAUCGCGAGGCCACCUGGGAACUCGAGGAUCUGAUGAGAAAGCAUUAUCUUCACUUGUUUGAGGAAUAAGGUAUAGAAACUGAGUUUAAAUUAAGUUGAAUGAGUUUCGAGGACGAAACUCCUUUUAAGAAGGGGAGGAUGUAAGGAAGUGAAUUCUCGAAAUUCGAGAGUUGGACUUCAUCCAAGAUCGACUAAUUGUCGAGUGGGUAGGCUUCGGAGGAGCUAAAGAUAUCCAAAACACAAAAAGUGCUUUGGAGUCGAGUCCGCGGGAGCAAAUGAUGCAAAAUCUGCACUUGGCAGAUUCUGCCCUUGGGGACCGGUCCCUGGCGGCGGGGACCGGUUCCCGUAAGCAGGAAUUAUGGCAGAGGGGAGGUCUGCACAAAACUGCUGUCGGGGUCCGGUCCCUGGUAGGAGGGAUCGGUUCUCGUAGCUGAGGGUUGCGGCAGGCGCCCGAUGCAACCUGUCUCUCGAGUAAGGACCGGUUCCCGUACGCGUGUUACGGGGAAUUGCUCUCGGGACCGGUCCUCCCGUUGAGGGACUGGUCCCUCCGCGUGAAAAUUGCCCAGGCAGGGCAGGUUUAGAGAAGUAAAGUAGAGGGGCUUUUAUGCAAAAUGCCAUAAGUUGAGGGGUAUAGAGGGGCUGAGCCUUCUCAUCUCUCUCAUUCUCACCCUCACUCUCACAUUCUCUUUCUCUCACUAAACUCUUUCUCUCUCUCCCUCUCUUGAGCAAGGUAGAAGGAGAAGAAGAAGAGGAAGAAGAAAAAGAAAAGAAAGGUGGAGAAGAAGAAGCAGAUAUGGGAGAAGGCCUUUGUAACAUACCGAAACUUCAGUAGAAAAUAUUGGACUUUAGUCAAAUUGACUAAAGCGUGCGAAUGAAAUGGUUGGACGAGUUCUAUUUAACAUUCCAACAAGGUUGGAAGGAUUAAAAGUGAGCUUAAAAAGAAUUGGAAAGGUUUUAGCGUUAUUCGGCGCGAAAUAGAAUCGAAACGGAGCCAAAAACCAAGUCUGGGCAAAGUGUACCGGUACAACCAUCGAGUUGUAAUCGGUACAGCAAUGUGUACCGGUACAGCAUUGAAAGUGUACCGGUACAAAUGCUACGAAACCAAGAAGCAGCUCUCGGAUUUUGUCUCUGCGCAGUCGUGUUACCGGUGACACGAGGAAGUGUACCGGUACACUUUGGGCUUGUGACAUAUCAGAUUUUGAUAUAAAAGUAAAAAAUAAAUAAAAAUAGUGUGAGAUACUAUUUUUAUUAGAUUUAGUGGAGUAAAAUAUAAGUCAGAAAUGACUCGUGCCGAAAUCGGAACGAAAACAGAAGAUUUAGAAUUUUUUAUGAGAGAUGGGACUGAUAUUUUAGCAGAAAAUGCACAGUGUCAGAAAAUUAUGAAAACUGGAGAAUAUGUCAGAAUUAUUUUUAUGAGGCUAGAUUUAAAGUUUCAUGCCAUUCUGACACCCGGAAGGUGGAAAUAAAAUCCGACUGCAUUUUGCUAGAGAUUACAGUUCGGUAGAGCUUUUGGUAACUAAACGUGGUCGAAACUGAAAACUUAAGAUAUAUUCUUUCUUAAUAAGAAAAAUCGAGCCUGACUGUCAAAUUUGAGCGCAAACGGACGUUCAGAAGGUCUCCAAUGUGUACGAACUGCUAAACUGAGCAGCUAAACUGAAAAUAAGCUAUAGUUGGGGGAGGGGGAGGGGGAGGGGUAGGGGGGGGGGGGGGGGCUAUUUGUGUAACAAAUGCCAUCUCCCCCGUUUGUGCGGUUCAACCCGAGAGAGAGAGACAGGAGAGUCUUUAUCUCUUUCUCUCUUUUCUUCUAGCUCACCACCCUCUCUCCUUCUCUUGUAAUCUCUCCACCAAAGAGGAAUUGGAGAGAAAAUUGGAGAAGAAGCUUGAUGGAGAAGAUGGCUUGGAGUUGAGCUACUACUUCUUCUUCAUUGGCCCAAGUAAGGUAAGUUUCAAACCCUUUAAUGGUGAAACCUUAGAAUUCAGUUUAAUUGCCCUAAGAAUGAUUUUAGAUGAAUCUCUAGAUGAAAUCAUGCUUGUUAACGCUUGAUUUAAAUGGGUUUAGAGUAUAUGUUGUUAUAGUGCACUAUUAGGGCUCCAAAUUGAGGCUUUUGUCAUAGAGGGGUUUGAAUAUAAAUUAACCUUGUAGAAACCAAAUUGGUAGGUUUUCUGACGCGUUGGCGAAGUCGGUUCGGCUAUUCGUCCAGCCGGUGCGAAGAUAUUAAAGAAACGAACGUUUCAGCUUCGUUUCCGCCUUGAGGGCCGAGGCGACGUCCUAAAGUCAUUAAAACGGAAUCGUGGGCUCGUGGCAACUAACCAUAGGCCUUUAAUUUUCGGAUCGUGGAUUGGAGGCCGUCCGGGUGGUCGCGCGAGAGUUCGGGCCAAACCGGGUCACGGGUGCCGCGAGAGGCCGAUUGCAAGUGACUACGAGCAAUCGGAGUGCGAAUUAAGGUGGGUUGUGUUUACCGAUGCGACUAGAUCGCCGUUAUGUCAAGAGUAAUGUGGUUUCAUAUUGAUGCAUGUAAAUGCUAAGUGGAUGCAUGUAGUAAAUGCUAAAGAGAAUGCAUGCUAAUGACAUAAAGUAGAAAUACAAAAGAGAAUGCAUAAAUGACAUGGUAUAGAAAUGCUAAAUAAAUGCAUUGAUUAAUGCUAGUUGAAUGCAUGUUGCAUGUUAUAAGAAUGCCAAGUAAAUACAUGAUAAGCAUGUGGUUAAUGCUAAGAAAAUAAAUGAUGACAUGACGAGAAUGCUAAGUAAAGGUAAGUUGACAUAUAUAGAACUAUGUUAAAUGACAUGUGCAUGUGGACAUAUAUAUAUAUAGAUCGAGUGGUAUUGAACCUAGUGUCAAGAACAUAGGUUGAGUAAGAGUAAUAUUGAACCUAGUGUUAAUAAACAUAGGUUGAACAAGUGUGGCAUCGAACCUAGUGUUAAUAAACAUAGGUUGAACAAGUGUGGCAUCGAACCUAGUGUUAAUAAACAUAGGUCGUACAAGAGUGGCAUCAAACCUAAUGUUAGAGAAUAUAGGUUGAGAGUAAACUUAGAGUUAAGUCAACCUAGGUUGUGAGAUAAAGAUAGCGAACCUAGAGUUAAAGUAACUUAGGUUAUGUGAUAAAAGUGUUAAACCUAGAGUCAAGUGGACCUAUGAUGGAAAGGACAUUGGGUCUAGAUAGGUCGAUACUAUAGGGUUAAGACCAACCCUUGAGUUAUGUGAAAUGGAUUCCGAAAUCCCAGAGCUUAUGGAACACCCAAAGUGGUGUUGGGCGUGUGCGACGAUUUCACCGUCCGGGCUAUACCAUCGACGUGGCGUGUGCGACGAUUUUGCCGCCGGAUGGGUGAGACGAAUUGUGGUUUAUACCGGCCGAGCCAGAUUGUGGAUCAUACCGCUGGUUGACUCGAACCGUCGACGUGGCGUGUGCGACGAUUUCGCCACCGGGUGGCUAGGUCAUAGAGCGCGGUGAGCUGUGGUUGGCUGAGGUGCAUGUGAGAGUUCCUUCACCUCGAGCCGGCAGAGUGCUGAUUAUCCGCAGUUGAUUGACUCAAGACCGAGUCGGGUGGCAUAGAGGACUAAGGUACGAGUAACCUUAGAAUAGAAUGGCCGAUAAGUAAGUUGUAAGAAUAAAGAAUAGCUAAAGAAUAAAGAAUAUCUAAGAAUAAGGAAAGAGUUGCAAGUAGUAAAGAAUGGCUAGCAAUAAAGAAUGAAAACGAUAGAAAGUAAAAUCAUUUAUUCUACUUGCAUAGUUGCAUAGUUUCAUAUUGCAUAUCGUGAGGCAUGACAUGUAGUUCAAUAUCGAGUAAAUGUAUAAAUAUCUGUUAUAUGUUAUUGGACUAACCUGUAGCAGUGUCUCAUUAGACCUAUUGGUUGAGCUUUUUCCUUGGGUGGCCGUACCCACUAGGAACCAUGGAGUUGGUUCUCACCCCACGUUGUUUUGGGGUAUUUCAGGUUCGCACGUGAGCGGCGCGCAGUUUCGCGGACGAAACUCCUUUUUAGGAGGGGUGAAUGUAACGUACUAGACUUUUGCAAAUUGCGAGGUUCGAGUGAUUGGUUGUGCUCUGAGUUUUUUCAGACUUUCUGGUGGGUCGUUCACAGUGUUCCGACCUAUGGCUCGUAUCCCGAGGAUUGAGGUUUGAAGCCUAGCACCAAAACCCGAAAAAGAUCGGAUUUUUGGUUAGCUCUCGGGUAGCCUUCAGAGGGCUGUAUACCGGUACGGGGUGAUGGCUGUACCGGUACAGCCAUCAACAUUGGUUGCUUCUCAGCCAAUCCGAGGCUCGGGUUUGGCUAUUUCGUGGGAUGUGUACCGGUACGUGAGCCCGUGUACUGGUACGCAGUGGCAGUUUUCAGCAGUUUGAACUGCAGGGGUGUUUUUGCUAUUGUAGCAUCUCUAUAAUACCACCCACACCCCUUUGCUGGUCUCCUGAGCUGGGAAACAUAGGAGGACAAGGUGGGGAGCCCUUCUCUUCUCCUCUUUUGAUUUUCUUCCCUUUUUGCUUGGAUUUUGAAGGUUUAAUCUCUCUCCUUUUCCCUCUUGGUGCACUUCCACCUUAGGAGAAGCUUAGGAGCUUGGAGUUAAGCUUGUUGGAGGUGAAUCUUCGACCCUUGUGAAUUUUGAACCUUGUUUGAGGCUUCAUGAGAGAUUAGUUCCAUGCUAUUUCCCUUUUUAUCAUGAUUUUCAUGAUUUUUGUAAACAAACCCUAGAAAUGAGGAUUUAGGAUUUGUUUUGGGGAUUUUUGAUCUAGGACUUUUGGAGCUCAAUCGAUUGGUUUAGAACCUUCCUCUAGGUUGGUUUUGCAGGGAUCUAGCUCCCAUUUGGAGCUUGAGAGGGGUUUUCUACACUUAGGUGAGAUUUUGCCCUUAUCUUGAGUUUGUUAAUGUUUGAGUUUUGGGUUGUUCGUUUCGUUUGGAUAACCCUCUUUUUGAUGCUUCUAGGGUACUAGGAGGCUUGUGGGCACCUCCGUUCGGCGAAACGAAGGUUUCGAUUUUGGUGGGUUUGGCCUCACCUAGAUGAGAUAAACUUCUCAUAUGAGGGUUUUUAUUUAUCGUAAAGUGAAAAUGCAUACAUAUUCUUACUAGAUAGAAUAUUUGAGAAUUUUAGAAUGCUUAAAAUGUUCAUGUUAUAUACAAUGCAUAUUUGACCUCUAUAUAGUAGAGAGUUUUCAUGUUGGGCUAGGGGCCUAUGGUUAGCAUUCUUACAGUUGAUUGGGAUCAUAUUGCAUAUGGUGCAUAUGGCAUAUAGAUUACACUCUUGGACUUAGAACGCAUGCUUGACAUGGUUGGACUUAUCGACAUUAAGUGACAUAGGCUAGAGUGUAUACAAAUAGUAAGCUAAUGUCAUAAAGCGGCAUUAGGCUUGGACUAGAUAUGGACUUAGCAAGCUAAUGUCAUAAAGCGGCAUUAGACUUGAUGGAUAUGUAAAUUGCAUGUGCAUGUUAUUAUUAUGAGAAUUAUGCCAAGUUGAUAGUUGCAUUGGAAAGAACAUACAUGUAGCAAUACGAGAACACGCUAGAGAGCAUGUGUGUUAAUCUAUUAUUGAUAAAACAAGCUACCGUCAUAAAGAGACCUAAAAUGUGAAGUGUGCUUAGUUUAUAGCAAUGUUUAAGUGUCAUAAAGAGGUACUAAACAUAGUGAAUGUGGGAACUUCACCCUGAGAUUUGGACUUAGUAAAGCUAAGGUCAGUGACAUCGAAAUUAUUGAACGGUUAAACCUUCACAUUGAGACAUUGAACUAGAUCUUCGAGAUGCUAGUGACUUUUACCAUGUUAGAGACAUGAUGACUGUUGGGUGGCUAUUACCAUGUUAGAGACAUGACGAUUGGACUAUUGAGGUAUUGACCAUGCUUGCUUGCCAUUUGUGCUCAUUCGUACAUGCUUGUGAUGGUCGCUCCCUACAAGCCGGCACUCAGGAGUUAGCUUACGCGACUUAUGUUCACUCGUGCGGUAUUGAGAAGCUUACGGGGUCGAGUGGGACAGACACAUUUCAAGAGCAGGAAUGUUGGGCUACCACAGGCACUUAGGCGGCACAAGCCGGACUACACCUGUGUAGAUCCUGAUUUAGAUUGAACCAGAAUAUUAAACAACAAGUUGACAUUCGCUACUAGCUAGGUUAUAGUAGUUGGAAUCUUGAUAUGCUAUGGCAUAGAGUUGGGCAUUGAGUUAUAUAGUAUACUUGACGGUAUCGUUUAUUGCAUUGUAGUAUACUUGGUUGCCAUGAUGCUACAUACUAGAUAUGUAGUUGGCUUUGGGACAUUUAUCAUCCUUCAUAGUAUUACUUGUUGCAUCAUAGCAUACUUGUUUAAGUAUUGGCAUACUGGAUCAUGUAGAGUAGAUGUACUCCAUGUUGGCAUUCUAUGUACUUGUGGCAUAGUAGAGUAGCAUUUUAUUAUUAUGCUUUAUUUACCGCAGUUAAUUUAUGUUAUCCUUAUCUGCUCUCUUUUGGGCCUAGUGGUGCAGUUGGUGCAGGUCAGUAAUUGCCCACUAGGAACUAUAAAUUAUAGUUCUCAUGCCCCCUAUUUUAUAUUUUUUUUCAGAGCCUUCCACUUCUGGAGGGGCUCGGGAUCGCGGGAAAGGUUUCGCCUUGAGCUAGCUAGCGAGAGAUUUGGCGAUAGGUGGUCUACCUCUCUUUUGUUUUUCUUUGGAGAGGUUGUGAGAGUUUUGUACCUUAUUAUAGAGACCACCCUACUGUUGUACCUUGAGACUUAUGAUGUACUAGUUUUAUUAUGUUCUAGUGGUUUAGUCUUUUUUUCUUUCCUUUUAUUUCUGCUUGUCGAUAGAACUUAGCAGCAUACUUGCUCUGAUAUCAUUAGUUAUUGUUUAUUUUAUCUUUCAUAUCACUUUGUUGUAGACGCUUUAUAUGUGCAGGUAUAUGGCGGGACUGGGCACGCACCGGGCAGGGCCUAUGCCGGGUCCCGGGGCGUGACAGAUUAAUUUGGUAUCAGAGCCUAGGGUUGAGUCUUAGUGGACCUAGCGAACCUUAGGCUGGUUGGACUAUAGGAAAUAGGCUCGUGAGAGACGAUGUCUAAUUGAAUUGUUAGCGAAAGUAUUUCGAUUGGGUUUGAUGAUAACUCUAAAAAGUUAGAGUUCGAUCGAAGUGUAUGGCUUCUAACUUCGCGGAGGGUUACGUUGGCGGCCGACAACGUAACAUCGGGAGUUAGUAGUUGGGACACUUCCUUACUUUCGCAUGAUUUGGGAUAUUGGUAUUUGAGCGGGGUUGCGAUAGCGUUGGUUGUAUUAACUUGCGCUUUUAUGAUGUUGUAGUGACGAUGCCGACUACACGCUCUAAGUCUGUUAGAGCGGGCGAUGCGGCGACUUUUGAGGAAGCGAAGACAUCCGCUACCUCCGGGUCCGGUGAGGUCCGUGAGUUGAGGAGCCAACUUGCCACCUUCACUGAUUUGGUGACGCAGCAGGUGGCGGCGGCUCAGCAGCAGGCGGAUUCGGCACGCCGGUAGGAGGCACGAAUGCAGCGCCUGGAGGAUCUUCUAUUACAGCAGGCAGCUGCCAGGGAGGCUCAGGUCUCGGUACUACCCGCGCCAGUGGAGACAGUUGCGCCAGGGGGGUCGCCCUCUGUACUCGACACUUCGCAGACGACACUUACGGUAGCCCCUCGGGAGGAGGUAUUGGGAGCACCACCAGUUCAGGUGCCUGUGGCAGCGGCGACUUUUCCCUUGAUGGUUGAAAGACCGGAGCGGCANNNNNNNNNNNNNNNNNNNNNNNNNNNNNNNNNNNNNNNNNNNNNNNNNNNNNNNNNNNNNNNNNNNNNNNNNNNNNNNNNNNNNNNNNNNNNNNNNNNNCUAGGUAAAUGAUAUCGAAAAAUCGCAAAAAUUAUUUUCUAGAAACUUUAAAUACGCUAGAUCAAGUUUAACGGAGCCGAUCGUCGAUUCGAAAACUCCAUCUUCGAAAACGGCUCAGGAUUCCUGAGAGCACAGCAGCCCUGCUAUAUAUAUAUAUAUAUAUAUAUAUAUAGUGUAGAACUAUUAUGCUAUCGAAAAUUUAGAGGAUUUGAUGUUUUUGAAUUUUUGACCUUUUGAUUAAAAAUUAUAUGGUUGGGAUGAUUGCGGUCUCCCCUAGGAUUAAAUAAUACUCUUAAGAUUGAGUGGUCCCUACAAGAUAAUAAUAAUAUUAAUUCAAAGAUAAGAAACGAUUAAAGGUAUUGAUCUAAGAAUCAAAAAAUCGGAAGCAACAGAUCUCUAUACUUUCGAUAGUAUAAUAGCUCUACUAUAUAUAUAUAUAUAUAUAUAUAUAUAUAUAUAUAUAUAUAUAUAUAUAUAUAUAUAUAUAUAUAUAUAUUCUCCUUAUUAUAAUAUGGCUUUGGUAGUGGGAUAUGUACUCACAACUCUGUAUCAAAUCCACCACCUUUCACAUGCAAACAAAACAUCAGAUUCUCUCNGGCUAAACUACAAAUUAAACCAAGAUGGAGAUUGUUAUAUUUGGUUUAGAUUUGUAGUUAUCUAAAUUGGAGUUAAAUCCUAAUCUAUUUAGGAUUAGAUAUUAUUUAGAUUUAAUUUGGCAUAUAUGGAUUAUGAGUCGGAAUCUAAUUUCUAAUUGAAUUAGGAUUAGACUUUAUUUAGGAGACAUGUAUUAUAAAUACAUGCUACGGCCAAAUUAAUCUUGCCGCGACUCAAAAUUAAGCUAUGCUCUAAUUAAGCUAUAUAUUAAAGAGAGUUGACCGAGCCAUGCAGGUUGGUCUAUACGAGGAGCCGCAACCUUAAUUAAGAGGUGAUGCUUAAUUAAGUUAUCUAUUGAGUCGGAGCCAUCUCUUCUUUGAUGCUUGUGUCUGUACCACAACCCCGACGUGGUGCGCUUCGGUAAGAGGGUCGAGCCACUUAAGUUUUGUAUGGAUGCUAAUUGUGGCCUUUCGGAUCUAAUUAGAGUUCGGGUUCUUUGAGAGAUAUACUUUGUACUCCGCCUUUUCGACAUUAAUAAAGUAUUUGCUCCGUCUUCGCCCGUGGACAUAGGCCGUUGGCUGAACCACGUAAAUAUCGGUGUGUUCUUUCCUCUUUUCUUUUCGUUUUCUGCAUUAAAUUAUUUUCUGGAUCUAUUUUUUGCCGUUCCAAUUUCAACAAACUGGUAUCAGAGCCUUUCUAUUCCCUUUGAGGAUUAAGAUGACGACGAAGUUCGAGAUUCAGAAAUUUGACAGGACCAACAGUUUCGCAUUAUGGCAAGUCAAGUAGCGUGCAGUAUUGACGCAGUAAGAAUUGCAGAAGGCACUGUUGGAAAAAGAAAAGAUGCCCGAUUCAUUAAUGGCAGAGCAGAAGGAGGAGAUUGAUGAUAAAGCUCUUACGGCAAUACAAUUAUGUUUAUCCGAUGAGGUAUUGCGCGAGGUCUUGGAUGAAAAGACCACUGCAGGGCUUUGACUUAAAUUGGGGUCUCUCUAUAUGACGAAAUCUCUCACCAACAAGUUAUAUUUGAAGCAAUGUCUCUUCAUGUUGCGCAUGGUGGAAGGUACCUCUAUUAAGUCGCAUUUAGAUGAAUUUAAUUCUAUUAUUAUGGAUCUCCGCUCGAUAGAUGUUAAAAUCGAGGAGGAAGAUGAAACCCUUUUAUUAUUAUGUUCUCUACCGCCCUCUUAUAAGAACUUUCGUAAGACCUUCUUGUUUGGACGAGAUACUCUAUAUCUCGAUGAUAUUAAAUCCUCUUUACUUUCAAAAGAGAGAAUUGACAUGCAGAUAAGCAACGAGACAGGUGGAGCUUCAGGACAAGAUUUGGUCGCUAGAGGGAGGUCUCGGGAGAAGGGUUCUGGUAAUAGAGGUACAUCUAGAUCAAAGUCAAAGCACAGGAAUCUGAUUUGUGGUUAUUGUAAGAAGAAGGGUCACAUAAAAGCUGAUUGUUUCAAGUUGAAAAAUAAAGAGCAGCGGAAGAAUAACGGUGAUAAAAAUCAAAGUCAGAAAAACACCAAUACUGAAGCAAAAACAAGUGUUGCAGCAGGAGAAUCAGAUAAAAAUGAUAUCGUCUUUACAGUUACGGAUAAGACACGCAGACAGGAUGAGUGGUUUAUGGACUCCGCAUGUUCUUUUCAUAUCUGUACACAUAAAGAAUAGUUCUCGACGUACAAGCCUAUUGAAGGUGGAGAUGUAUUGAUAGGAAAUCACUCUAAGUGCACAGUUAUUGGAAUUGGUACUAUUCGGGUACGAAUGUUCGAUGGAGUAGUGAGGACUAUAUCUGAGGUUCGGCAUGUUCUGGAUAUGAGGAAAAAUCUGAUCUCAUUGGGGACACUUGAUACUAAAGGCUUUAAGUAUUCUUCAGCUGAUGGAUUAAUGAAGGUCGCUAAAGGGAAUCUUGUAGUGAUGAAGGCCAAGUUGUCCGACAUGUUAUAUGUUUUACAGGGUUCCACUAUGACAGGUUCAGCAGCGGUGACUUCUUCCUCUAUGUCAGAUUCGGAUAGCACCAGAUUUGACAGGUUCAGCAGCGGUGACUUCUUCCUCUAUGUCAGAUUCGGAUAGCACCAAAUUAUGGCAUAUGCGACUGGGCCAUAUGAGUGAAUAUGGUAUGAUGAAGUUGGGCGAGAGAGGUUUACUUGGUAGUCAGAGUUUAGAAAAGUUGGACUUCUGCGAGCAUUGUGUUCUUGGCAAACAAAAGAGAAUCAGCUUUAAGGCCACAUUUCACCUAACGAAAGGUACUCUGGACUACAUUCAUUCUAAUCUUUGGGGACCUUCUCGUACUCCUACUCAUGGUGGUACUAGAUAUAUGUUGACUUUUAUUGACGACUAUUCUCGUAAAGUGUGGGCGUUCUUUCUGAAAAGUAAGGAUGAGGUGUUCAAUUAUUUCAAGCAGUAGAAGGUCAUGAUUGAGAAGCAAACUGAAAAGAAGAUCAAACGAUUAAGGACCGACAAUGGUUUUUAAUUCUGCUCGUCAGAGUUUGAAGAAUUCUGCAAGAAGGAAAGGAUCGUUCGACAUAAGACCGUUAGGCAUACUCCACAGCAGAAUGGGGUUGCCGAACGGAUGAAUAGAACUCUUUUGGAGAGGGCUCGUUGUAUGCUCUCUAAUGCUGGCCUAGCUAAGAGUUUAUGGGCAGAGGCAAUCUUUACGGCAUGCUAUUUGGUGAAUCGAUCUCCACAUUCAGCACUUGAUUGCAAAACUCCGGAGGAGGUAUGGUCUGGCAGCCCUUCUGAUUAUUCUAAUUUGUGAAUAUUUGGUUGUCCUGCUUAUAUUCAUGUCAAUGAAUGCAAGUUAGAACCUAGGGCUAAAAAGUGCAUUUUAUUGGUUAUGCAUCGGGGGUUAAGGGAUAUAGAUUGUGGUGUCCUGAAUCGUCUAAAUUAAUUAUUAGUAGGGAUGUCAUAUUUGAUGAAUCUACUAUGUUAUAUCCUAACCGUAAUUCUUCUGAUGAGACCCCGAGUGCUAGCAAGCAGGUGGAGGUAGAGACCGAUGGUAUAGUUCAGUCGCAGGAUUCUUCUCAGUUAGAACAAGUUCAGUCGACAGACACUCAGUAACUGAAACCCCACAAGUUGAGAGGCAGAGCAUUGCUACAGGCAGAGCGAGGAGAUACAUCAAACUACCGCAGAGAUACGGUUAGGAAGAUAUGGUUGCUUACGCUCUUUCAGUGGCACAAGAUACAGAAGAAGAAGGUGAACCUUCCACAUAUAAUCAAGCUAUUUCCGGUGCCAAUUCUGCAGAGUGGUUGAUGGCGAUGAAUGAGGAGAUGGAGUCUCUCCAUAAGAAUUGCACAUGGGAGUUAGUAAAACCGCCUACAGACAAGAAAAUUAUCGGCUGUAAGUAGGUCUUCAAGAAAAAGGACGGAAUCCCCGGCGUGGAAGAUACAAGGUAUAAAGCUCGUUUAGUUGCUAAGGGCUACAGUCAGGUAGAAGGUGUGGACUUUAAUGAUAUUUUCUCACCCGUCGUAAAGCUUGUUUAGUUGCUAAGGGCUACAGUCAGGUAGAAGGUGUGGACUUUAAUGAUAUUUUCUCACCCGUCGUAAAGUAUACUUCUAUUCGUGUUCUUUUAUCGUUAGUAGUCAUGAAUGACCUGUAUCUUGAGCAGCUUGAUGUUAAGACAGCUUUUCUGCAUGGAGAACUUGAGGAGCAAAUUUAUAUGAAACAGCCGGAGGGAUUCAUUGUUGAAGGGAAGGAGGACCAUGUUUGCCUGUUAAAGAAAAUCGCUUUAUGGCUUAAAGCAGUCUCCUCGGCAAUGGUAUAAGCGGUUUGACUCCUUCAUGACAGGUCACGGAUACUCCAGAAACAAACAUGAUAGUUGCGUAUAUUUCAAAACACUUGAUAAAGGAUCUUUCAUAUAUUUGUUGCUCUAUAUCGAUGAUAUGUUAAUUGCUUCCAGCGACAUAGUUGAGAUAAAUAAAUUGAAGACUUUACUGAAAGGUGAGUUUGAGAUGAAAGAUCCAGGUGCUGCUAAGAAAAUUCUUAGUAUGAAAAUUAAGAGAGACAACAAGUCAGGACUACUGCAUUUGACACAGGAGAAAUAUAUAGAGAAGAUUUUAAAGCGUUCCGGGAUGACAGACGCAAAAUCGGUGAGCACUCCUUUUGCAGCGCAUUUCGGACUUUCCGCCGAGUUAUCACCGCAGUCCGAUGAUGAGCGGGAGUACAUGUCACAUGUUCCCUAUUCUAGUGCUGUCGGGAGCAUAAUGUACGCCAUGGUUUCCACACUGCCGGACAUCUCCUACGCAGUGAGCAUGGUUAGCAGAUAUAUGACCAAUCCUGGUAAGGCUCAUUGGCAAGUUGUUAAGUGGAUUCAGAGAUACUUACGAGGUACCACUAGCACUUGUUUGGAGUUUGGAGGUGUAAGGAUGGUGUGGUUGGAUAUAUUGAUUCGGAUUUUGCAGGUGAUUUGAAUAGGAGGAGAUCACUUUCAGGUUAUGUAUUCUCUAUUGGCGGAUGUGCAGUUAGUUGGAAAGUUUCACUACAACCUAUUGUCGCCUUGUCUACGACGGAAGCGGAAUAUAUUGCUAUGACAGAGGGUGUGAAGGAAGCUAUGUGGCUAAGAGGCUUAUUUGGAGAGCUUACUUCUUAUUGGGAUCCGACGAUUGUUUAUUCGGACAGUCAAAGUGCUAUUCAUUUGUCUAAAGAUCAAAUGUUUCAUGAGAGGACAAAGCACAUCGAUGUAAAGUUUCACUUUGUUCGGGAUGUGAUUGGGAAACGCACGUUGACAGUUAAGAAAAUUGGUACUGAGGACAAUCCGGCGGAUAUACUUACUAAGUCCCUUACUAUUGCCAAGUUCAAGCAUUGUUUGGACUUGGUGGCAGUUAGCAGCAUUUGAGGCCCUAUGGGGCGUUUGGAGAAGACGGAACACGGAGCGUUAAGGAGCAUUAAGGCAAAUUAAAUUCAAGGUGGAGUUUUGUGGCGAUUUCGACAUAGCGGCGGCUAAACUACAAAUUAAACCAAGAUGGAGAUUGUUAUAUUUGGUUUAGAUUUGUAGUUAUCUAAAUUGGAGUUAAAUCCUAAUCUAUUUAGAAUUAGAUAUUAUUUAGAUUUAAUUUGGCAUAUAUGGAUUAUGAGUCGGAAUCUAAUUUCUAAUUGAAUUAGGAUUAGACUUUAUUUAGGAGACAUGUAUUAUAAAUACAUGCUACGGCCAAAUUAAUCUUGCCGCGACUCAAAAUUAAGCUAUGCUCUAAUUAAGCUAUAUAUUGAAGAGAGUUGACCAAGCCAUGCAGGUUGGUCUAUACGAGGAGCCGCAACCUUAAUUAAGAGGUGAUACUUAAUUAAGUUAUCUAUUGAGUCGGAGCCCUCUCUUCUUUGAUGCUUGUGUCUGUACCACAACCCCGACGUGGUGCGCUUCGGAAAGAGGGUCUAGCCACUUAAGUUUUGUACGGAUGCUAAUUGCGGCCUUUCGGAUCUAAUUAGAGUUCGGGUUCUUUGAGAGAUAUACUUUGUACUCCGCCUUUUCGACAUUAAUAAAGUAUUUGCUCCGUCUUCGCCCGUGGACGUAAGCCGUUGGCCGAACCACGUAAAUAUCGAUGUGUUCUUUCCUCUUUACGUUCAUUUUCUGUAUUAAAUUAUUUUCUGGAUCUAUUUUUCGCCGUUCCGAUUUUAACAUAUAUAUAUAUAUAUAUAUAUAUAUAUAUAUUCGAGCUUUUCGAGCCUAAGUCGAACGAGCCGACUAAUACUCAAGCUCAGCUCAUUUAAUUUCGAGUCGAGCUCGAGCGAGCCAAAUAUCGAGUCGAACAUGAGUCGAAUGUAAGCCGGCUCGCUCAUUUGCCAGCCCUACAUGGCAUAGUUUCCUUACUAAAAACCAGUACUUUUUCUUUUCCAAGUAACCCAUAAUAAUCAAACUCAUUCGUAGUUCACAGGCAUGAAAUUGGAAGCAGGAAAAGUCCAAUUGCUGCUGGUUUGAGCUUGCUGACACUUCACUGCCAGCCAUUAAAUGUAGUUUCUUAACAAUCCCUCAGAAAGAAGGGCAUCUAAAUAAAAAUAAACUGGACAAACCAACUAGGAGAGGCAAAUAAAAAAAAAAAGGCAGAGGGGGGCUAAAUACAAAGGAUUUAACGAGAAAUGAUUGUGAGACAAAUGAUGAGUUCUUUGCAAUAAGUUGGAUUCAGCGAACCACGGAGAUUGCGCAUGAAUCCGUCAAACUUGUAAUUGCAACUUCUUAGCCGCAAGAGCCUCAGAUUCGAGAGAUGGCUCCCAAAGAAUGGUUGUUUCUGCGAGUAGAGAUGUCACUACAUAUGGGUCCAUGUUUGAAGCGGGUCGGCGAUCCUCCAAGUAGCCUACAAUUAAUAUUAAUAUUAAUAUUAAACAUUAAAAGGGCAGUAAAUUGAAAAGAGGUUAAGUAUUAGGUCAGCAAAUGCACAGUACUAAUUAGCAAUAAUCAAAUUUAAUGAAUACACAUGCCUUUUCCUUUUGCCUCGGUUUCACGUCCCACACGAAUAGAGCAGCCGCGAUUUGCUACCCCCUGUUUGUUAAUACAAAAUGAUUAUUGAAAUUCGGAAGUAGCAGUUAAGAACGAGAAAGUUUAGUGUUUCUUUUUAAGCGUACCCAGGAGAAAGUGUUUAUGCUGGCAGUCUCAUGCUUUCCGGUCAACCUCCGCUCGUUUCCUUCACCAUAUGCACUAAUGUGCUCCUUGUGACGGAGCGAGAGAUUGAGGAUUGCUUUUUUUAUCACCUCGAAGCCACCAUCUUCACGCAUGCUCUUAGUGCUACAUUGACAUUGAGUAGAAUUCAAUAUAGUAAGUGUUCACGAGCAAUUUUGAAAUAAGAAGGUAAAUAACAGUAAAGCUAUGUGAGCCAUUUCGAAGCAAUUUUCAGAACUUGAUUCUUUUUUAUAGUGAAGGAAGUAAAAUUCGAAAGAAUAAAAAUGUGAAAAAAUAAAACCUGUAGUUCGUGUGGCACCCAGCACCAUUCCAAUCACCCUGACCGCACAAUUUGACAUAUCAAAUUUUCGCUAUAAAAUGAAUAAGGUUUUACAGUAAGUUUAUAGUGAAAGCAAAUACCUCAAUUGGUUUUGGAUCAAGAGAAAGCACAACACCAGCUUGUUCUGUGAUUCUCUAUAGAAAGUCAACAACAUGUUAGUAUGGACCAGAUACAAUGAAUUUGAUAUAAUAGCUAGUUCAUUAAGUUCAAUUUAAUUCUAUAAAAUACUUGCCCAAAAAAAAAAAAAAAAAAAAAAAAAAAAAAAGGGAAAACAAAGAUUUGUCAUCCAUCUGGCAAAUUCCUCCGAACUAGAAGUACUAUAACACAAAAUAAAAGGCGUUGAGCAUUGAUUCUUUCAUGAUGUUUUACUGAUUUAGGGAGAAUUUUAGAUUACUGGCAGAGAAGAAAGGUUUUAUACAGGAGGAUUGACUAUUCAAGAUUUUCUCAAAAGAGUAUUAUCUGAAGGAAUGUUAGUUAUUCCAAAUAUUCCAAAAACUUCAAUCAAAAUCACUUCUUUUGAAGAUUUGUGCUACUAUUAUCAGAUAGCCAGCCGCAUACGGAAAAACUUGAAGUCAGUUAUCUAAUCAAAAUAGGUUAAAAUGUACAGUAUAAGUUAGAAACAGGAACCUGUUUAAGGGAUAAGCAUUAUUGCAACAAGAUUAAUGUGUUUAUCUUUGUGCACUGUAGGGAUCAUUAUUUUCCUAGAGCAAUUUGAAAUGACAAGUGCCCAAUGCAAGAGGAAUAAAAUACUUCAAAUAGAUGAAAACCAAAAUAUAAAUGCAUCUACUAUAUCUCAUUGUUAUUGCAUCCUAAAAUUUACCUCAAGAAUGUAUCUUGAACACCAUAUAUGAUCUCCAGCUUCAAUACCAACACUUGGUCCAACUUGAUAUUCCCACUGCAAAAGAAUUAUGAUUAGUAUUGAAGUUAAUUAGUUUACUUUCAAGGCGUAACUUAGAAGAACAACCAAAAAAAACACUAUAAGCUGGUUUAAAGAGAAGAUACAAAACUAUGAAGUCGAGAACAAAAUUGUGUGUCCAGCAAAAGGAGAAAAGGAAAAAGGAAGAAGGAAAAAACUGAGCAGAAGAGGUAAGAAGAUACACCUGGCCGGGCAUGACCUCUCCAUUGGUGCCACUUAUGUUGAUUCCAGCAUACAAACAGGCCUUGUAAUGAGCAUCUGAGAUGUCACGCCCGAAUGACUUAUCUGCCCCUACUGAGCAGUAGUAUGGCCCCUGAAACAACGUUAAACAAGCCCUUACUAUCAAUACAUCUCACAUAUUGUUUUCUUGUAAGUUCAGAAAAUGGACGUCUAAUUCCUCUUCUGUAGGUUCUUUUUUCUUUUUUUCUCGCAAACAUAUUGAAUGGUACAAAAUUUCAUCUGGUUGUUUCAAAUAAACUUGACAAUACAUUGUCAUAUGGUUUAGCCACAGUUUUGACUGGCUUCUGGAGCAACUUCUCUAUGCUAUAAAGGAAUACUCAGGCAUUAAAAGCUGAAAUAAAGCUUCUAGGUCCCAAAAGCAAAGAGAUUCAAUUAAACUACUGCUUCUACUGUAGCACAAAACUGCUAGGCAGAUUUGACGAGAAGGCUUUUAGUGCUUCCUGAAACAGCCUACUCAAGCAUUAUUAAUCAAAAGCUCAAGAAGGCCCUCCAAAAAGGAUUAUAUACUCUGUUAGAAAGACUUUUUGAAUUUUUUGUUUCCCAUCAUUGUACAGUCCAAUUAGAGAAACUUGAACUCCAUAAAGCUCACGCGGCAAUGUAAACUGACAGGAUUCAUGACAAACAAAGUGGUGUUUACCUGGGGGCCUGGAUAACCUCCAACGGGCCAUCCAAGAGGCCACUUCACAUUUCUUUGUAGUAAGGUGUACUCCUGCUCAAUCCCGUACCUACAGAAUGUUUGGAACAAGUUAGUUAUUUUAAAUUCAAACAGACCUCGUUUUUAAUAAGUCUAAUACAAAAUUCUCGUUAGAUGAAUGUUUCACUUAUUUAAUAGAUGGACCAUAACAGCUAAAGGCAAAUGCUAUCAAGUUCUGUUCAUGCCAUGAUACAUAUUUUGGCGGGGUUGAUUACCAAGGGAUUUCGUUGAUGACCUUUUGCUCGCUGAAUAUUUGAGCAGCCCUGUACCGCUUGUUAGUAGGAAUUGGUUCUCCACUUGGAGUAUAUGAAUCACAAAUCACCUUCACAAAAAUGAACAUACAUGUAACUUGAAAAUUGUAGUUAAAAACAAAAAUCCUGUGAAGUUGGAGACCCUUGUAUAUCAACAAGACAUAUAUAUAUGCUAGGUAGUAAUCGACCAAAAAAAAAUAGAAUCCUUGUAAGUUAAUGAAUGGUACUUCUUAUGACAUUUUCCAAUACAGAAAUCUAAUACAGAUUUACAAAAAGUUUACUAACCAAGAUAUUAUUGCCUCCUCGAAAAGGGUCCUUGAAAAUGGCUUGAGGGCUUCAAGAACAAGCAACACAAAAGACAAGUAAAGUGACGUAGUAAUAGUUAUUAUUUACCACAAUAGUUUCCUUUUUUUUUUGGAUAAGCAAAAUUUAAAAAAAAAAAAAUGCAUGUUUGUCAUAGCAUAAUUUAUCAUACUAUAGAAUAACUUCACUGUCUUCUCCAGGAGCUUGCCCAGUGCUUGAUCCGUCGUAAUUCCAUUUUGGUAGCUCUGAUGGGUGUUCCACUGGCUUCGGGAUUGUCUGUAUUAUAUAUAUCAAGAUAACUCAAUUAGUAAGGAAAAACAAAUCAAACUAGUCCACCUGCUAGUAAGACCAAAUUUGCUACCCUUUAGUUGUAACAGGAACAACCGUCAAUAUUAAGUAUUAUGUAACAAGCAUACUCUCAAUUUGCUUCGAAUAUCGAUAAUAUUAAGUAUUAUGUAACAAGCAUACCCUCGAUUUGCUUCGAAUAUCGAUGCCGGUCCCUCCAAUCCUAAUCAAAAUAACAAUUAGAUUGUUGAAGCUAAACAUCAAUAUAAAGCUGAAACAUAGUAAUAUUAUCCCCAUAAUAAGGAAACAUCUUUUCAGAUUAGAGAGUAUUUUCUACUAUAUAUUUCCGGAAACUCUUUCUAUGAAUUGAAUAAUGUCCCUUAUUAAAAUUUUAUUUCAUUGAAUUUGGUACUUCUCGAGACUUAGGAAACAGAUUUUGGAACAUGUAUAGGCCUUUUUAAUAUUUCUUAAUCAUGUUAAAUGUUUUAGAUUUCAACUAUAGGGCCUAUCACAUUUGUGUCAAAAGUGCAUGUUGAAUAUAAAUAUUAAAAACUCAGUUCUCUUACAGCUUAUGCUAUUGGAGAAUAAUGGUUAUUUCACAUAAUUUAACAUGGUUUCAAAAUAGAAGGUCUUAAGUUCUGUAAAACAACCGUUAUACUCUAAAAGCUUAAACUUUUAGAGAACGGUGUUUAUAUAUUUUUAUAUUUAACACUCUCUCUCACGUCUAGGCUCGAGACUUUUUGCAAAGGCCAUGACGUGGAUUUUAAUUAAAUGGGAGGAAAUUAAUAAUGCUAGGAGCUUGGCGUGACUCGAACUUAGGAUCUUCUACUCUGAUACUAUGUGAAACAACCGUUGUACUCUAAAAGCUUAAGCUUUUAGAGAAUGGUGUUUAUAUAUUUUUAUAUUUAACAAGUUCAAGCCCCGCAAUGCUCCUAUCAUUAUUAAAUUUCUCCUAUUUAAUUUAAGUCCACGUUUUUGCCCCUAUCAAAAUGUCUCGAGUCCAGACAUGAGUAGGGGUGUCAUCGAGCCGAACACGCGCGAGCUGGGGCAGGCUCGUUAAAGUAUCGAACCGAAAAAUUCAGCUCGUGUUCGGCUCAUUAAACGAGCCGAAUACGAGCUAGCUCACGAGCUGGCCAACGAACAAAAGUUAAAUGGAUUAGAUUGGAUAUAUAUAAAAAAUAAAUUUAUAAAUUCUUACUCAUUAGACUUUGAUCUAAUGGUUGAAAGUUUACAUACAAAUGAAUCAUUUUAUAAUUGAGCUCAGCUUUAUAUAUAUUUUUUUGCUAAAAAUCAAAUAAUAAAAAAAUAUAUAUUAUAUAUAUAAUUAUUUAGUUAUAUAUAUAAAUAUAUAUAAAUAUAAAUUAAAUAAAUUAUAUAAAUAUAAAAUAUAUGUAUUCGAGCUGUUAUCGAGCCGAACACGAGCGAGCUUACCCCAGCUCAUGUUCCGCUCAUUUAUUAAACGAGCUGAAAAAUUCAGCUCGUGUUCGGCUCGUUUACUAAACGAGCGAUUCGAUCUCGAGCUCAUUUCGAGCCGAACACGAACUGGCUCGCGAACAACAAGCUAGACAUGAGAGGGAACAUAGAAUAUAAAUGUUAAAAACACUAUUUUCUAGCAACUUAAACUAUUGGAAAUAACGGUUGUUUCACAUAAUUUAUCAGUGUGUAAUUCACGUGUCGAUGAAUUCCUUCUCAUAUAUAAAGAAAUAAAGCGCCAAUUUUGACUGUACAAUAUAAAUAAAAUAAGAAACACAACACCAAUGCCUAAACUCUUUGUUUUAUUUUAUAGGAAAAUUGAUCUCAACCAAUCUGAAUUUUACUGCGAUUUGAGAUCACCACCAGAACUUUGACAAUGACCUAACACCACCUAAAUAAUCUAUUUUUAUUGCAGAUAACCCCCUUUCGGAAGUAGCUUUUUAUCAUGAAUUCAUAUUUUUCCGUGGUUUUAUGCCAUUUUCAAAGUUCAGUUGGUGAUCUCCAAUUGCAUUAAAGUUCAAAUGGGUUUCGAGUUUUUUCCCUUACUUAUCUUAUGAUCCUUUACUGGAACAUCUUGUGUUAUUGCAGUUUUCAGACUCUUUUUCACAAUUUCUUGCCAAGGUUUGAGGGAAUUCAAGGAGAAGGGAAGUGGUGCCGUUACAUACCAAAUGUACUCCGCAAUGAUUUUGUCGGUGUAUGGAGUGAUGUCCAUAUUAAGCAAUCCCUCCAAUCUCGAAACCACACCAUCAUUUUCGGACUUGACAGCAAGGACUUUGAAUGUAGAGUUACUACUCUUCUUGGUUCUGGGCCUCUGAGGAUGUAAGAGCAGAGAGUUCCACAUCCUCGGUGUCAUGAUGGGCUUAGCUUUAAUCGAAUUGCUCGGGAUUGCCAUUUGGCACUGCAUGGUGGGCACCACCAUCUGAGCCAUCUCCUCCUGCUACCUCCCUUCAAUUCUACAAAUAGAAGAAUCAUAUUGUGUUGAGAUAUGAAAGAACCAAAAAGGGAGGACUUGCACAAUUUUUUUGACUUUAAAAGUAAGAAAAUCAUCCUAGUGUCACAAGGCCCCCGCCAUUACGGAGUUUAGAAAAGGUAAAAUUGAUUCAAACUGAUUAAUACAUGGGAAGAGACUAAUAAAUUGAUGGAAUAUGUUUUUCACCAUGCGACCAGAAUGCUAAACCCAUUUUGCUAUUUCUAAUGUUGCUAUGUACCUAAUCGCAUAAUUGCCAGUUAUCUUUAGAUGCAAGAAUAUUGAUGCUUGGCAAGUUCGUUUACCAUCUUGAAGCCAGAAGUUGCAAUAGAGAAAAAUUUUGCUAAUGCACAAAAGGCCUCACCUGGUCUAACUGAAUGUGAUACAAGCUGGCUUUACACUACCAACUUAGUUUAAACCAAGUUUACAGUGAGGACUGAAAAGAAAAAGAAAACUAACCAAGUGAUAUGUAGGAAUCAUCAUACAGAGAUCAAAAACAAGUGGGACGCACUUGAAGCCUCACUAAAGAGGAUAUACGCUAUCACAUCUCUGACGAAAAACAUUAUUAUUAUAUGAUUUGUUGAUCCAUUCAAGCUGAACAUGAUAAGUUUUACAAAAUAUUUCCAAAAACUACAUAUGAAUUCCAUAAUUUUGAGGAUUUUACCUUGUUUCAUAAAACUAAAGUCGUACUUAUAGCCUGUUUGGAAGGCAGAAAAAGUCGUCCAAUAAUAACCAGUAAGCCAACAGUAUUGGAAAACUACAAAUCGCAUUCCAACAUAAAUGAAUCCACAGCUUAUGCCAAGGAUUACUUGGGAGUAGAGAUAUUAAUAUGAAUGUAAUAUGCCGAUCCUCUAGCUCUCUUGAUCGAUAUGCUAUAAACCAUACGGGUUAUAUACCUCUCUUUCUUAAGGUGGAUCAGCAAUGACGGGAUCACAAGCUAUUCCUUUUUACUCUUCCCUCCGGUCAGUCAGUGCUCGAGUCAGGUACUUUUUCUUACUAUAAACAGGAGUAAAUAGUAUUGGAUUGAAUUCCCCUCUUAUAACUGAGACAUUCAAUUGUAGUUUUACGACAAGGGAAAGCCUUACUACUAACUCCAAUCUUUCUAAGAUAGUAGCUAGAUUCCAUGCACCUUUGGAGGCAAUUUAACAUAUUUUAGAAAAGUAAGAUUGCUCAAUCCUUUUUACUGCCUCCAUCAGGCGGCUCGUAAGCAUCACUUAUCAUCUUAUCUUUCGAGGAAGUUUGAUUAUUCAAUCCUUGUUACCCACUUGCAGAUGCCUUCUUAUGCCAGUUAUCGACAAACUCCUAAGUUCCCUUUGAAGAAAUAAGUAGAUAGAUGCUAAAAAAGAUAUUAAAGCAUCUGAAAGGUCAUAACGAAAUUACUAAUCAACUGAUGGUAUUUGGCGUACGUAGUUACUGGAAUCACUUCAAUAUUUGAGAUAAAAAAUAAUAAAUAAAUAAAUAAAAGAGCUUAUGGAAAGUUAGGAAGGGAUGAAAUUAAGAAGGAAGGUAUUAGGCCCUUGCCAGUUAAGAAAGUUGUAAGGUUAUUUAUUUAGAGUAGCUCCACUCAAGCAACAAGGUUUGCCUUGUUACCCAACAAGAAGAGAAGAGAUUGAUGUGAUAACAAACAGCCUGGGAACAGCCUUAAUACAUAACCCUGCUCAUGUGCUUAUUAGUGGAGAUUAGACAGAACUAUAUAUGCCGUAUAAACAACCAGAGUAGGUAGCAAAAGAGGAACAAAAUGAGACUUCAACCCAUCAAAUAAACGGCAGAUAAAAAAUAGGGUAUUCGUACCUGCGACCUCACAAAACAACACAACACAACAGGGUUCGGAAUCAACAAUACCCCGACGUCGCUACCUAAAGAAGAUCAAUUUAGUAGAGUAGGAACACCUUAAAAAAUAAAUUUAAAACCCUAGCUCAGGUGCACGGUGAAGAUCGACGGACCACGCAUUAUGCAUACGACGGAGUUAAAAGUUAGCGAACAUUAAAAAUGUGAGAUACAUCAUUACAUGACCGCACCGAAUGAGCUAAGUGGGCUUGCUUAUAUCCAACUACGGGUACCAUGUUAACCAAAAGACGGUUUAUGGAAUAUGGAUUAGAGCUAGCAGGGCCCAAAACUAAAGUAGCUAGCCUGAAAAACUUUUGGACGGCGGGGAUCGACGAGAUUUAACCCAUCAUUUAAAAUCAGAUCACUGUGGGGAUUGAUUUAACCAUCAAAUCCCCAUCCGCUGCUUACCUCUUACCUCUCCCACUGUAUUACAUACAAAUACGGCGAAUCUGAUCUUCUUCGCGAAGAUCAAUAUUUCAAUAAUUUCUAGGUCACACUUGCUAUCAUCAGAUCAAUCGAGUCGAGUAAGAACAGAUCACGAAGGCAAAGAGAGUGUCGGUUCAUCAUCAGCAUUCACCAAAAAUAAAAAUGUCAUCAAACGACCAACAAGAGCAGCAAAAUACGAUAGAUACAUUCUAGAAUUUCUGUGCUUCCCAUUCCCAGUCUCUUCUUGAGAUGUGAAGGGAAAAGAGAGAGAGAGAAGAAAAUAAAUAAAUACAUAAAUAAGAGGAGCAUUAUUAUUAUUAUUAUUAUUAUUAGUUGCUUACCAGGAGGGGAUCAGGCCUGGAGGAGUUGAGAAACUGCUGCUGAUAGGAAAAGAGAGGACGGGGGAGAAGAAGAUGGGUCUAGCAAAUAAAAGAGAGGCCAACUUUCCAAGAAUCCAGGUGAUGGAAGAUAUACAUAAAUAUAUAUAUAUAUUAAAAAAUUUAAAAAACAAGAAACAAAAUGCAAAUAGAAAAUGUAGGGAGACGGGUAGGCUUCGAAUUUUGGGAAGCAGAUAGGGUUGGGAUUCGACUUGGGUGGAGGAAAUUUGCCCCUUUGCUAAUGGGGGCACAACCAAAGAAAUUGGAUAUAUAAUUUUAUAAGAAGAUAAGGCGCGCGCUCUCUCUCCGCUAUUCAUUCAUUGGAAAAAAAAAAAAAACAAAAAAAAGAGUUGACUUUAGGAAAGACAUUCAGGGUUCGUUUUGUUCGAAAAUUAGUAAAAACUAGUUAUUCUAUAAAUUUUUAUAAGAAUAAAAAUUUUUUUUAUUUGGAUGAAAAUAUGAGUAUAAACUGGAACUAAAAAAAUUGUGUUUGAAUGAUUCUUGGGAAUAAGAGAAAUAGUUGAUGGUUAUAAAUAAAAAAUAAUGAUAUUAUUCCUAUAAUUGAAUUUAAAUUUUUAAAUUUUAAACUUAUAAUUUUAAAUUGAAAAUUUUAACUUUUAAAUUUUAAAAUUUGAAAUUAAAUUUAAAAUUUAAAUAUUCAAAUUUUUCAAUUUUAAAUUUUAAUUUUUAAAUUUGAGACCAAAUUUAAAUUUAAAAUAUAUAAAAUAUCAAAUUUAAAAUUUAUAAAUUUAUAAUAUCAAUUUUAAAUUUUAAAUUUUAAAAUUUAGAAUUUACAAUUUACAAUUUACAAUUUUAAUUUUAAAAUUACAAAUUUUAAAUUCUAAAAAUUUAAAUUCUAUUUUAAAACAAAAACUCUGUGUGUACCCAUGUGGGUAACUAUAGUUCCCACCUUAACCAAAUCUUGUUUGGGUACAAGAUAUGGUAAAAGGCCCCUUAUACCCCAUCUUGUACCCAAUCCAAACGCUAGCUUAGUGAUUGCAUAUAUUAGUUUAACAACCAAAAAUAAUAACUAAUUUAGCUGCUAUUUGCCGAUCUAAAAUAUUUCUGAGCAGGCAUGUAAAAAAUAGGGUUAAAUUACACCAGUAGUCCUGAAACUAACAAAUAUAGCUCGUUUCGUUGAUCGUCUACAAUAUUUCGAUAAUUUAUAAAUUUUUAAUUGAAGAGUUGUAAAAAGCAUUAAUAAAGUAGUAGAAUUGUUGUAGAUUCGUAGCUCAUAGAAAUACUACAUUAUUUUUCUAAUUAAUAUGAGUUUAUGGGUCCAGUAGCCUGUGGGCAAAUUCGAAAGCAAUUUUUUUUGUUGUGAAAAAAAUGUAAACUAAAGUAACUCUUUCAACUUUUACCUUUCUUUAUUUGCAUACUCUCAACUUUGAAAUUAAUUCGAAAUAUUUUUUAAAAUCAAAUCAGGGACUUGUUAAAAUUCACUGUUAAUUCAUUACACGUCAUUAUUGUUUAACAAAACUCUAUCAUCUAAAAUGGCAUUCAUAACAGUUAAAUUUAACUACUGCACUAUUAAAAUUUCUUAUUUAAAUAAGUUAAAUCAAAUAAACCAUUUUUUUUUUAAAAAAAAAAUCAAUUACACAAUACAAUCAGGGGGCCUAUUUCACAUUGAUUUAUGGUCUGAUGGGGUCCUUGUGCAUGUGUAAUAAAAUUUAACAGCUUCGUUCUUAAAAUUUCCAAUUUGAAACUAACUUAAAUAAAAAAUUAUGAAAUUAUAAAAGGGAAAACUUUAAAUACCCCUCUUGUGGUUUCACGCUUUCUUACUUUAGUACCCUGUGCUUUAAAGUGUAUUAAGUUAGUAUCAUGUGAUUUUGCACUUUUUCACUUUAGUACCCUGUGGUUUAAAGUGUAUCAAUUUAGUACCCUGUGGUUUCGCAUGUUCUCACAUUAGUACCCUGUGGUUUCACACUUUCUCACUUUAGUACCCUGUGGUUUAAAAAUCAUAGGGUACUAAUUUGAUACAAAAAUAAAAAUAUAGGGUACUAACUUGAUACACUUUAAACAACAGGGUACUAAAGUGAGAAAAUGCGAAACCACAUGGUAUUAACUUAUACACUUUAAACCACAUGGUACUAUAAAUGAAGAGUUGUGAAACCAUAGGGGGGAUUUUUAAAGUUUUCCCAAGUAAAGAACAUAACCAGGUAGCCCAUUUGAUUAAUUAGGAGGGAGUCUUUAUACAUUUGUAACUAAAUAUUAUAGUAAUCAAGAAAAAAAUAGUGAUUUUGACACGAGACAGGAUAGGGUAAAGUUGACAUCAGUAAAGUUUAUAUAAAAUUAUUUAUAUAAUAAGGCCUUUUUUAUAAAAAAUUCAUUAGUUUUCGGCUUUUGCAAAAUUGGAUCGUAUUUUUCGAUUUACAUAUUCGGUCCGAAUUUUCAGCAAACUGAUCAAAAUAUCCUUAUUAUUUUUUCUCUCGUUCUUUUUUUUCUCUCUCCGAAGAAGGCAGCGGAGGCGGAGGCGGAAACAGCCCACUUUGUCUCUGCCCCGCACGCCCUCGCCCUCGCCCUCGCCCGUGCCCGUGCACCCCCGCCCCCCUCGCCUCCGACCCUUCUUCUCUACUAGGGUACAGCGACGUCAAGGCACAAGCUCUUCUCCUCCACUGCACGUUGGAAUGCCGCGACGUCGUCGGAGGCGGCGAGCUCGCCUCCGACAACGUCACGGUGGUUGUGAUAGAGAGUAAAAGAGAGAUGGUAACAAAAAAAAAAUUAUAGAGAGAAAAAAUAAAAAAUAAAAAAAAAAUAUUUUUUUUCUACAGAAAAGAUUAAAAAAAUAGAAAAAGAAAGAAGAUGAUAAAAUUACACUGUUAAAAUAAGAUUACACUGUUUUUGAAAAAUUUUGCACUAUUUUAAUAAAAAUUGCACUAUUUGAUAUAAAAAUUAUACUCUUUUGGAAUAAAAUUUACACUCUUUAGAUUAAAAUUGAACUCUUUAAAAGAAUUUUGCACUAUUUCUUUUUAUUUUCUUUUUCUCUUUUUCUUCCUCUUCUUCUUCUUCCUCCGUCCACCGCCGGGUGACAGUACAGCACCGACUCCAUCUCCACGCUGCUGAUGUUCUCUCCAUCGCUGAUGAAAAAUGGCAUUGCUCACCUCCACCACCAUCACAGCAGUAUCGCCCUUACAGCCCCAUGAUUGAUGAAGCUCCCCUCUGCCUUCGUCGAGAACUAAUUUCGAACCAUAUAAGAUCAUAAUAGAUAGAGAGGAUGCAACUCGCAUGAGUAGCAUAGUAAAAACAAAACGGCGAACUUAUAAUUAAUUAAAGGGAACUAUAUAUAUUCGUUCGUGAUGGUAAUAACCAUUAACGACCAGUAAUGGUCGUGCAUCUAUCUACUGACGUUCUCGAUCAAUCAAUCGAGAAAUCGAUGGGCCCGCUCGAGCGGUAGAAACUAGCUAGCUAGGUACCUAGCUAGCGCGCGGUUCUUAAUUAAAUAAAUAAUAAAUAUUUUACUCGUCGAGGGCGUUGGGGCCGGAGUAGUAGUUGAGGACGGGGUUCCAGAUCCACUCGACCAAGAACCUCCGGCCCCCGACCCCGUUGACGUUGUAGGCGGCGCCGCUGCGCUGGUCGAGGAGCAGCUGUCCGGUGUAGGCUCUGCCACUGCCGGUGCGGUAGAUGCCCUCGCAGAGGUCAGCGAUCUCGGUGGGGAAGCAGGGGUCGCCGCCGGCGUACCAGGCGUUGACGAGUGGGUUGGACGCCAUCUCCGCCAGCUCGUGCGCCACCACGCUCACCAUGCGGUCCACCCCGACGUCCCCGUUCGGGCACCGCCCCGCCGAGUUGCCCGCCCACGCGUACGGCAGCGCGUAGCCCACGAUGGACGGGAACGUGAAGUAGUGGAACCCACGCACCUGCCUGCAAUGGACGGAGGAAGAAGAAGAGGAGGAAGAGACAGAGAAAAAGAAAUAGUAUAAAAUUCUCCUAAAGAGUGCAAUUUUGCCCUAAAGAGUGUAAAUCACAUUCUAAAAGAGUGUAAUUUAUAUAUCAAAUAGUGCAACUUUUAUUAAAACAGUGUAAUUUUUUUAAAAAACAGUGUAAUUUUAUUUUAAGAGUACAAUUUUAUUAUUUUUUUUUAUUUUUUUAAUUUUUUCUGUAGAAAAAAAAUAUUUAUUUUUUAUUUUUUAUUUUUUAUUUUUUGUUUUUAUAAUUUUUAUUUUUGCCACUACCUCUUCCUUAUUUUCUAUAGCAACCACCGUGACGUCAUUGGAGGCGAGCUCGCCGCCUUCGACGACUUGGCAGCGUUCCAACGCCCGGUGGAGGAGAAAAGCCUGCGCCUCGACGUCGUGCCCUGGUGGAGAAGGAGGCGAGGAGGCGAGGAAGGCGGGGGUGCACAGACGUGGGCAAGGACGAGGGUGUGCGGGGCAGAGACGAGGCGGGCUGUAUCCGCCUCCGCCUCCGCCUCCGCCUCCGCUGCUUUCUUCGGAGAGAGAAAAAAAAGAACGAGAAAAAAAAAAAAGAGGAGAGAGAAAAAGUAAUAAGGGUAUUUUGGUCAGUUUGUUGAAAUUUCAGACAGAAUCUGCAAAAUCGAAAAAUACGACCCAAUUUUGCAAAAGCCCAAAACUAGUGAAUUUUUUAUGCAAAAAGGCCUAUAUAUAAUUUAUAAUAUAAUAUUUUAAAUAAUAAUUUAUUUUAUAUAAUUUAUCCAUAAUAUUUGUAAUAAAUAAAAUAUAAAAAAAACUUCAAAUACCACUCCUGUGAUUUCAUGCUUUCUCACUUUAGUAUCCUAUAUUUUAAAAUAUAUAACUUAGUAUUUUGUGGUUUUAUUUUUUUCUUUCCAUUAUUUUUUCUGUUGAUUUUUCCAUUAUAUCAUUGAUAAAAUUAAAACCAUAGAAUAUUAAAGUAAAAAUUCGGUAAACCACAAUAUACUAUAGUGAAUAUUCAAUAAAGCAUAUGUGGGGUAUUUGAAGUUUUUUUGUAUAUGAUUUAAUGGAGAGUUAAUGAAUAUGCUGACGGAAAGAAAAAAAAAAAUACACGAUACUAAAGUGAUAUUCUUUAAACUAUAAAAUGCUAAAGUAAAAAAGUACGAAAUUAUAGUAGUGAUAUUUGAAGUUUACACUAAAAUAUAAUACUAAACUCAGCAUAAUGAACGGUGCAGGAUGCUCUCAGGAUUGUUUGCUGAUUAAAGCAGAAAGAAAAGCAAAAAGUGAUGCACAGCCUGGACAAUGUGCUUGGGCCCACCUAUGGCUUCUUCUUCUUUUUUCUUUUUCCUUUUUUGUGCAUUUGACCCCCACAAAAAAAUUUUAAUUAGAAAAAUUUACCUCCCCAAACUACAAACACAAAGUUGACUCUAUACUCGUCACCGUUGGUGCCAUGCACGUUGAAUGCAGAGGGUCAGUUGAUUUGUUUAAUUCUAGCAGGAUAGACUAAACAUGGUAAAAUUCUUUAACCUUGUUCGAGACACAAAAGUGCAAUAUUGAUUUGCUGUAUUUUGUUCGAGACACAAAAGUGCAAAACUGAUAUGCAGUAUUUAGAAUUCACUUAGUAAAUUUGACAUCGCACGUAAUUACCGUAUUUAAAAUUGGGUAAAUUAUACAGAGAUUUACUAAACUUUAGUUCUUUUACAAUAAGCACUUAAGCUUUUAACUAAACUUCAUCAAAUUGUUCAAUAGACUUUUCUCCUUAAUUAAAGAUAUUAAUUGCACAAUAUAUGGUUUUGGUCAUUUAUAUUACUUAUCUAUUAACCUAUAUAAAUUCCCAAUAUUUUUGCCACGUGGCAAGUUUUCUUUCAACCUCACUAGCCCUUUUUUUAAACUGACAUUUGCUCUUGGCUCUUCCCCUCCCAUCCUCUCUAUUCAAUGACCUGUAAUCAAUGUGCUCUUUAAUUUAUACGUUACUUAUUUUUCUCUUCAAUAUUGGCCAUUUCUUCUCCCUCAAACCUCUUUUCAACACCAAAUCUUUUACUUUCCAAUCCUUUGAAAUCACGAGAAUUAAUUAAUCCAAAAUGCAACAUUUAAUUAUAUGCACCAUAUUCCACCAAUGACUGGGCUGCGUAACUCUAAUCCACUCCUCACCUCCAUUAAUACCCCUACCCCACUCUCUUUUGCAUGGUCUCUUAUUUUUCAAUUAAAAAAGAACAUAAUCAUCUAAUCUCGCACCCCACACUCAUCUAGCCCUCUCUCUCAUUGUGUUAAUGAAGAUGAUGAGGAUAAUGAAGAAGAAGAAGAAGAGCAAACGAAGAAUGUUGUUUCCUUCGAGAAGUAUUGUCCCGCAAAGCCGAGCCGCAGCCCAUAUAGGUGCCCGCUGGGUUGAUUCAGCUGUGCUGGAGCUAGUUCUUUUUUAUCUUUCACAACAAAAUGUUCAAGAGGCACAUACAUAAUACGAUAAAAUUGUAUGUCUCUUACUGUAUUUUGAUGAUUUUAAAAAAAAUUAUAUAAACUUCUAACUAUAAUAUUAUUUUUUUAACAGUUGAAUUUAGUCAUGCAAAUUGACUAUGCUUAACAUGGUAUAGCUUCCUAUACAUCAAAAAGCUGUAAAUAUAAAUUUUAUUAAAAUUUUAAAAUUUUGUUUUUAUUAUCUAUCCGCUGCAUUGCGCGGGUUUCUACACUAGUUUAUAUUCAUACCUAUACAUAAUUUCUUAUGGUCAAAUCUAACGUGGAUGUAUCACCUUCAUUUGAGGGUUGUGGGUCCAACUAUUGUUUUAAAUUUUUCUCUAUCCUUUCUUCUACUUAGUAAACCCUUCCUCUCCCUUGUAGCCACAUCUUUCAACUCUCUUUCUCUCUCUCUCUUUUCUUUUUCCUCCCAUCUCUUACCUUUCUUUAUCUCCCAAACCGAUAGCGGCGUCUCUCCCUCUCCCCUCAUCUCACCUAUGCAGCUGUUUUGAAUCUCUCCAUGAAUGAUUUUAAAUUUUUUUUUCUCUCCCCUUUUUCCUCUCACUCGCCACUCGGAGCCCAUCGGCCCCCAUGCGCUGCUCUUCAUGCAUCCUCGACAAGGACAGUGUACGGUGCCAUCGCCAGUUGUCCCAUUCUCAAUAAUCAUUGGAUAUCUAUAUUCCUAUAUUUUCAUUUCUUCCAUAAAUUUUUAUUUUGUUUAUAUUAUCUACUCGUCGCAUGUGACGCCCUAACUUCCUAGGGGGUCACCCAUCCUAGGACUACUCCUGUUCUAGCACGUUUAACUCUCUUAACCUCUUGGGCCUUACCACCACCCAAAAUGCUUAAGCCGGGUUAAGAGCUUAGCCCUAUUAUAUCUCAUAUAUAGGACUAUUUAGGGUUUCACAAUCUCCCUUCCUUUAAGCCCUGACGUCCUCGUCAGGCUCAGACUCACAAGUACCAGGCGAUGUGAGACUCAUCUCGCUAGCCCGUCAUCCAGACCCUGGCUCAACCGAGACUCAUUUCACACUUCCGGCUGGUAAUUGGCUCUGAUACCAUCUGUGACGCCCCAACUUCCCAGGGGCUCACCCAUCCUAGGACUACUCCCGUUCUAGCACGUUUAACUCUCUUAACCUUUUGGGCCUUGCCACCACCCAAAAUGCUUAAGCCGGGUUAAGAGUUUAGCCCUAUUAUAUCUCAUAGAUAGGAUUAUCUGGGGUCUCACAUCGCAUUACAUGGGUUACUUCACUAGUAAAGCUUUAUAACACAAACAAAUUUUAUUUUGUUGUAUUCUAACAUGUAAAUAAAAAGGGAUAAUUGCCUAUAUACCCCUCAUGCGUCUGGAAAUAUCCGAUCUACCCCUACUUUUUUUUUUCUUUCUAAAAUGCCCGUCAUAUGUUCCACCGUUAUUGCAAAAUACCCCCGCAGUUAUCUCCUGUUAAGUUAACCUUAGUUAAACGUGAGUUAAAUAUCUAUCACAGUUAAAAAAAAUUAAAAUGCCAAUUUUGCCCUUAACUUAAGGGCAAAUAAAAAAGGUUGGUUACGGUAGAGGGGUAUAUUGGAAAAGACAAAAAGUUGAAAUACUUUUUGUGCCCCUGGCUUUAAGGGCAAAUAAGAAAGACAAUGAUGGUGGAAGGGUAUAUUUGAAAAGGGUAAAAUAGUAAUUUUACAGAGAUAACAGUGUUACUUAACAAACUUUAACUCUAAGGGUAUAUUAGAAAUAGGUUGAAACGUAGGAGGGGUAUUUUCAAUAUUAGCCUUCUAAGAGGGGUAAAUCGAAAAGUCGGAAACUUUUCAGGGGUAUAUAAGAAAUUGCCCCUAAAUAAAAUGUGAUAAAAAUUAAAAGUGGUUCAAUCUAUUUUUCACUCAUCAUGCUUAAUUAUCAAAUUGGAAAAGCAAAAACGGAUUUCUGUACAUUUUGAAGUCUUAUAGGAUUAUGUAGAGGACAUCCGGUCAAAACAGGUAUGUAAUUAGUAUGUUUACUUGAGAGAGGAGUCUAUUGAACUAUUUAAUAAAGUUUAUGAAAUGUAGUUGUCAAAAUCGAAAGUUUAGGAGUCUAUUUAAAAAAAAAAGCUAAAGUUCAAGGUGUCUUCAUAGAUUUUUAUCCUUUAAAAUUUGAGCAAUUGUACUUCGACAACCAAAAGCUUGUUGUAAUCUUACAACUUAAUGAUCCAAUUACUCAUAUCUAUCUGCAAGUCUUAUUAUGUCCUUUUCUUUUCCAAUACUAAAGACAAAAAAAAAAAAAAAUCCAAGGAUAGCAUUAUAACCCUUGGAUUAAGGAAUAUGAUGGAUAAAUAGUGGUCUUAUGCUUAUAUGUUGAUGAUAUUUUAAUUUUUGAUACUAAUAUGAAUGUGAUAUAUGAUAUGAAGAAAUUAUUAAAUAAAAAUUUUAAUAUGAAAGAUCUUGGGCAAGCAGAUGUUAUUCCCAACAUGAAGAUCACUAGAAAAUCGAAAGAAAUUAUUAUGAGCCAAUCCCACUGCAGUGAACAGUUAUUGAAAAAGUUUAGAUACUUUGAUAUUAAACCUGUAGUCACACCUUAUGAUUAUAGUGUGCAUGUUAAAAAGAAUAGAGGAGAUCCAAUAGAUCAAAAUAGAUAUUCACAAAUUAUUGGAUCCUUAGGAUAUUUGGUGGAUUACACUGGACCUGAUUUGGUUUAUACUAUGAACCGAUUGAGAAGAUAUACCCAAACUCCAAAUAGAGAGCAUUGGAAUGCCUUAAAAAUUAAGAGUUUUGAGAUAUCUGAAGGGGACUGUAUCUUAUGGAUUACAUUACACUGGUUUUCCUGCAAUAUUGGAAGGAUAUAGUGAUUCUAAUUGGAUUAGUGAUACAGCUGAUAUAAAGUCGACUACUGGAUUUAUUUUUCUUCUAGGAGGAGCAGCUGUUUCUUGGAAGUCAACUAAACAAUCUUUGAUUGCUAGAAGUACUAUGAAAUCUGAACUCAUAACCUUGAAUACAACUACAGCAGAAGUUAAGUGGAUUAGAGAGUUUCUUUAUAAUUUGCCACUUAUGGAGCGACCUUUAGCACUUAUAUAUAUUCAUUGUGAUUGUAAAUCUGCAAUAGAUAAAUGUGCCCAAGAAAAUGUGGAGACUAAAAUGAAUAGAUUCAUGAAAGUGAGACAUAAGUUUAGUCGGCAGAAUUCGAAGGAAAAUGUGAUUGGAUUGGAAUUUGUGAAAUCUACAAAGAAUUUGGCUGAUCAGCUUACGAAGAGAUUAUCUAGGAUAGUAAUCCCAAAAUCGUCGAGGGAGAUGGGGCAACCUAACCUGUUGCAGGUUCAAUGGGUAGAAACAAGUUGAACAGGUAGCUGUGAGGAGCACUGUUUUUAUAUCCUUAUCCCUAUGGCGACAGUGCUCAUAUCUGCAAGUGGAUAGGAAGGGUGUUGGCUCUGAAUGGCUCCGAGACCUAUAAGGCUGGGUGUGACCUUGCAAAUACCCUUUGAGGACCUACUAUAUGUGUGGAGUCGUGAGGCCGCAGCUAUGAGAAGAUGGCGGUUCCCUAAAAUACACACGAAGCGAUAUUAGCGCAUGGCCAUAAAAGUGCUCACCCGCUUAGAACCUAAAUGACUGUACCAUGUGUGUUGUUCGUGGAAAUCUGAUUCACCAGCCUUGGUUCAAGGCGUAGUCCACCAUCGUGCCCUCGAAUGUACAUUAACAAGCGGUAAGUGAAGGUUCAAACCCGAAAGGUACCUUUACCGAAUACGUGGUAUAAGAGAUCCAGCAUUCCUUUGAAUUGUUUUGAAUUUCAGUUUAUUUGCUUUCUUUAUUUCAAAUUUUAAAUCAUGUGAGGGGAAUAUUGGAUUUUAUUGUUUUAUUAGGUUUUUGUGAUUUAAAACUUGUUAAGGCCUCUUGGAAGCCCAAUAAUUAUUAAUGGGCUUUGUUAGAAGCCCAACUUAAGUUUCUAUAUGUGAGGUUUAGUCCCAUAUUGGAAACUAAAAGGGUGUUGAUGGUGUAUUUAUAUUUCUUUAUUCUCAAGCUACUUGUUUGGAAGAAUAUAAGAAUUAUGCUCUUGUUUAAACACACGCACGGCACGAGCACUAGCAGAGCCGGGCGGGGGGCGGCUCGCGCGGUCCAUACACCGGGUUUAUUUUAUUUUAUUUUAUUUUUUCGGUUUUAUCUUUAUUCUAAUCCUAAUCCUAAUCCUUAUCCGUUUAAUCUUAGGCUUAUCUUAUUCUACACGGAUUUGAUGCGUUGAAGCAAGAUUAUAUUGGGCGAGGUUGCACGAGUUGAAGAAAGAACCCGAGCAUACCUAAACCUUACCUCGUCUCUUCCUGCUUUCUCGCCAUUGGUUUUUGCGCCGAUUUUUGCCAAGUUUUUAUUGCUGGAUCUCAAGCUUGUUGGGUUCGUCUUGUACCGCCUUGAAAUCAUUCUGACGGGGUGGAACGUGGUCGUUGUAUCGCUGAAAGUAAUUGCCGGCAAGCCUCACACGUGGAGAGGCAAUUUCGCUUAUAGGACAGUGCUCCGCACGCCUCGAUCCACAGGCCUUAUCUAAACCUUUUCUUUAUAGUAUUUAUUAUUUAUUUUCUUUCUCAGAAUUUUUCUAAACCUGAAAUUAAACUUUCGGAUUAUUUUUAAAGAAUAUUGUAAUAAAAGAUUAGAAUAAUUUUUCCAACAGUAUAUUGAUUAUUUUCUAUUUUGAUGUAAGGACUGAGAUUUUCGAAUGUAGCUAAACUUUUUGUUGAUGAUAUUUUUGUGUGUAAUUUAAUUAUAUAAGCACUCGUCAACUUUCAGCAGAAAAUGCAUUAGAAUGGAGAAGUUACGCAAUCAUUACUAAUCACUUACAGUGAAUAGUAACUCCGGUUUUUCGGAGAGGCCAAUAAGCGGAGAUGGCUUCUGGUACGUAUUGGACUCCGAUUAUAGUGAUCCAAUAGCUCGUUUUCAAUGGUUCGACUAUCCUGAACCCAAUGGCAUUGACCGAUUUGGGUUUUGAUGCAUGGUUUUCGAGAAAAAAGAGUUUUAUUGAAAAAAGGGUUUUCGUUCUUUGCUGUUAUUGCAUUAUAAAACUCCUCGUGCUCUGUGCAUGUGACCUGGAGUAAGGUGAAAGAUGUUUCAGGUACCUACUAGUGGUAGGGAAGUCAAAUUCGAAUUCGAAUUUGAAUUUGAGGUUUAUUGGGGUUUACACAUACGUCUAUGUAGGGUGUAUGGAAAAGUGGAGAGGGGAUGGAUUUUGUCGCAAAUCGGCAACCAAAUCGAACAAAAUGAAAUGCUAGAUUCGAUGCCCAGUCGUGCCGAACGCGCUGGCGCAAUCCGAUCGAAAAUCUGACGGAUGGAUCUUCGGGAAUCGCGAAAAGUUCACUGAGGGGUCGAAAUCGGCAAAACGAAAAAUUUGAGAAAACCCAAUAUUUUAUGCACCGUUUUGCGUGAUUUUGAACGUCGAGAUGCGUACGCGCAUAUUACACGCGUGGUAAGGGACCGGGCUUGAAAUUUGCAGCUUUGGAGGACUAAUCUACACUUUAGCCAUCCUAUGUUAGCUUUAGGGUUCCCAUGAAAAAACCCUAACCCUAACAGCCCCUACUGCCUCCAGCUGCACCCCUCUAGCCUCCAUCACCUCCCUGCACCCCACCGCGCGCACCCCGACCCCGUCCCCACCGGCCCACGUUGUCCAUGCGCGCCUCCGACGCCGCCUGUGCGACCCGCGGCCAGCUCGGGUCAGCUCGGGCAGAGCUCAGUUGUGCUCAAGGCCCGCGUGCUAUAGCUGCCCUAGCUUGGCUGCCCCGACUCCCUUGGACCUCCGGCGACCUCCCGCUCACCGUCCCGUCGUCCUGGAGCGCCGCCGGCCGCCGCUCGUGCUCCCUGCGGCUGCCCAGACUCAAAGCGGGCCAAGGCCUAGUCACCUCGGCCAACGCGCGUCGCCUUCGCCCACCGCCGGCCGCACCACCCUUCCUCUGUAAGAACCCGAACUUCUCCAAUUAUGAAGUUUCAGUGGGAACAAACUUAAAAAGCUAGUAGAUAAGUUCCGGCGAAGUUUAGAGAGCAUUUGAGCAUUUUCGGCGCAAACUAAACGCGAAACGGGCUCAAAAAGCAAGAAUCUGCCUAAGUUGCAGAAUUUGUACUGGGUACCGGUAUUGGAAAACUGGGUACCGGUACGCAAUACAAAAAUGAGAAAUUUUGCUCUCGGGUUUUAAGGUACUGGAAAUGGGGUACUGGUACUGGACUGACCGGGUACCGGUACGCGAGCCCGAGUACCGGUUCGCAGCCUCCCAGAAUGCUAUUUUUUAGGGGUAAAAAUGUAAUUUCAGUGUGGGCUUAUAUAAAGGGGUGCCUACCCCUUUCCCUCAGCCCAGAACACACACGCACACAUGCACACAGAGAGAGAGGAGGAGCUCAUCUCUCUCCCUCUCUUGUUCCCCCCUCUCCAAAUUGGAGAUCUUGGUGGAGAUCGAGCUUGGGAAUGCGUAGGGAGCAGUGGUUUGAGCUCUCGGACGCUUGGUGGCUCGGUGUGCUUUCGACUCGAGGUUUGUAAAUGGGUUGAAAGGUUAGGGUUUGGCUUAAAUCCCUCGAAAUGAGGUUCUAGUGAACCCUAGAUGAUUCUAAACUAGGUUAAUCAUGGUUUCUCCAUGUGUUUUGGGUGUUUUGGAGAAAUAGAAAACCUAGGGUUAGAAUUGGGGAUUUUAGGGUUUGAGCUAGGGUUUUGGAUUUAAACCUUCCAAAUGGAUUUCUAGCAAACCCUAGGCUACUCUAAGCUACAAAUGGUAGAGAUUAGCAUAUGGAUUAGAGUUUUAUCAUAAAGUUUGGAAAACCCUAGGUUAAAAAGAGGGAUUUCUUGGUAAAGGGUUCUAAUAAUGUUUUAACCCUUUGGAACCCUAAUUAAGGGUUAGGAAAUCAUAUGAGGCUAUUUGAUUUCAAGUAGAGAGAUCAUUUAGUGGUUUCAAAAAUGGUAACGAAGGAUUUCUUGUAUAGGGCAAGGAAAGCUUGGGAGAAAGCGUGGAAGUCCAAGUAGUUGGCCUAAUUGCAAGUGACUACAAGCAAUUAGGAAGCUUAAAAGGUGGGUUGUGCUUCACCGAAGUGAUUAGAUAACUUCCAUGCCAAAGUGAAGUAUGGUUUAUUGUUGAUGCAUAUAUGUAUAGUGGUAGGUUGUAUAAGAUUAAUAUGAAUGCAUGAAUCAUAUUAUGCUAGAUGAUGCUACCUACCAUUGGAUGACGAUGAUGAUAUCGGUAUGUGCAUGAGAUGCUAGAGGACAUAUGCAUAUUGACAUAUGGUGAGAAUACGCUAGAUUCAUAUAAAUGUAAACUUGGGUCGAUAAACUCUAGGUUGAUUAGAGAACUCAACAAUUGAAAAACAAGUAGAUUGAGUGGCAUGUCAAUUAUGAUUCCUAGGUGUGGACAACUAGGAAAACAAGUAACAUGUGUGGCAUUGAACCUAGUGUCAUUGAACAUAGGUUGAACAGUGAACCUAGAGUCGAGAUCUAAGUGAAAAUGACAUAGAACCUAGCGUGGUUGAACCUAGAUUAUGACAUGUAGUGACACCUAGUGUGGUUGAAUCUAGGUUGUCAAUUAUAGUGGUAGAAGGGCCACUAGGAUGUGCAUGAGUCGAACCUAGAAAGGUCGACAUUAUAGGGUAUGAGGCUAACCCUUGAGAUGUGGAAAAGUGGAUUCCGGAAUCUCUAGAAAAUGAUGGCCGCGAGUGCAGCAGAUGAGACUUGCGGAUGAGAGCAAGUGAAUUAUAACUGCGGGUAUGUUGGUUCUCCUCGCCCGGCAGUGAUUCAACGGGUAUGUUGGUUCUCCUCGCCCGAUAUGAGAUUUGUGGAAACGGGUAUGUUGGUUCUCCUCACCCGUUGAGCUUGAGCGACUGGUGGUCCGAGGUUCGACGGUUCUCCUUACCCUAUGGUAGACCUAUAGUCGAGUGAAUUUAAAGCAGAGGUGCAUGUGAGACGUCCUUCACCACGAGCCUGACUGAGCACGGUACUCCACGGAUGUUUGACUCAAGACCGAAUCGAGUGACAUAGUUGGCUAAGGUAGAGAAAACCUUAGAUGAAAAUGGUAAAUGAUGUGGAUCUAAGGUAGAGGAAACCUUAAAAGCUAGUUGGAUAAGCUGUGGAUAGCGAGAUAGAAAUUAGAAUCAGUAGAUCUACCUGCAUUGUUGCAUGAUUUGCAUGUUGCAUGUUGUGAGGCAGAAGCAUGAUAGUUGUUAGUUGCAUAAAUUAUAUGAUGAUAUAUAUAUCUGUUGUGCUAACAUGUUGUUUUGCUUUUUUUGGACCUGGUGGGUCGAGCUCUUCCCUUAGGUGGCCGUACCCACUGGGAACUAUGGACAAUAGUUUUCACCCCACGUUUUUUAGGUCCACACGCGAGCGGCAAGGUGGCUCGAGGAAAUGGCGUAGCUCCGUAGAUAGCGCCCUACCACUGAGACCAGAGAUAGCCAGUAUCCCAAGUCGGCCUAGCUAGGUGUGUAGAAAAGAAAGAAACACAAAUAUAAUAUUUAUACUAGUGAGGAUUGUAUUUAGAAGCUAAGUGAAAAAAUGUAAUAUGUAAAAUGCAUGUGUGUUUAAUGAUUGUAAUAGUUUAGCAUUUAUAUUUUUGAUACUUUCCUUAUGCAAUCUGUGUAUGAAUGCUAUUCCUGGUUGGAAUCUCGCGAAUUGUAUGGAUUGUGACGCCUAGGACGUACAGGGGAGACUCUGUCCGUUCGGCGGUCUGUCGGCGUGCCCGAAUCCGACCAAAUAGGCGGGUCUCGGAGCGUGACACCCUCGGCCUCCGGCGACCGGCCGCCGUCGCCUCGAGGCUCCUCCGGCCGCCGCCUGGCUGCCGCUGCCUCCUUGAGCCGAGCCGAGUUGUGCGGGCUUGAACUCCUCCGCCGCGCCACCGGCUGCCUCCUGCCGCCGGCCAGCGUGAGCCCCGGCCCCCGCUGACCGGCCGCACCCGCCUCGGACCGGCCCGCCCGCUGUCAGGCCACCGCCGGUCACCCCGUGCCCUACCUUGCUCCGGUAAGGCUUUUAUUAGCUUUCUGUGCACUGUUUUGGAUUCCGGUCACCUUUCCGACGAUUCGGAGACACCUCGACAAUUUUGGAUGUGAGAACGAUGAUCCCUGAUCUGUGAUGAACAUCGUGCUCACCUCCAUUGGGGUCAGUGAUGCCCCGGUUUGCGUGUUAGACACGAUUUAGGCGAUAUGCGUGCUGUUUCGCUAAAGUUUACGUCGCUCGCGCGCUUGCCACAGUGGCCGGUUGUGCUCCGAAGUGUGAGCACGGCCUCCGGCACAUCGAGACCUGUCANCCCCAGUGUGCAUAUUAAACGCGGUUUAGACACUAUGCGCGCUGUUUCGCUGAAGUUCGCAUCGCUCGCGCGCUUGCCACAGUGGCCGGCCGUGCUCCGAAGUGUGAGCACGGCCUCCGGCACAUCGAGACCUGUCAGCGGAUGUCUCAGCCUAGCUAGAAAGUCCUCGCUUUGCGCUGUCGGGCCGUGAAACCCAAAAAAUCACAUGCAAUAAUGUGAUUUUAUGUAGUCGCAAGGGUUUCUAUGCAAUUGUGCGUUAUGUGGUCGCCGGUGGCAGCGUGUGCAGGCAGUAGGUGACCUCUAGACUCGUUGUCCAAGGCCCCAGGUCUUUUCGAAGAUCGAAAACUGAUUUUCGAUGCGUUUUUCGGCAAAAUUCGCCAACGGAACGCGUUUUCGGUUCGAAAUUCUUCCGACGGUGGCUCAUGAUAAUUUGUGUCGUUGCUGAGCCUUGUUGGCUGGUCACCCGCAUCAUUUCGAGGGUCCGAAAAACGACGAGUGAGCGACGGUAGGUUUCGGUGUCGAAUUGGACACUUCCGGGAACCCGAAUCAGAACGACUAUCCGAUGAUAAUCGUUUCGAAGUGAGAUAGUGUAUUUGCUGCCAGGUCACACAAAUAUAUGUAUUUAGUGGCAGCGGGAGACUCGUAGCACGAGUCGGUGAGUUCCGGGACAGUUCGUGGGUCCCGAUGCGAUUUUCGGGACUUUCAGUGUAUUGCGGCAAUCGGUCUUAGGAACCGAUUCCCGUAGGGUUAUUGGUGGGGUUUGUGAGUUAGUGAUUCAUAUUGUGGGUUGGACACUAACCAGGUGGACCCUUCGUAGAUUCGGUUGUUACUUCCUCCGUAGUUGGAAGGCCAGUACCAUAUUUGUACAAGUGGGUACUUCGAUCCGAAGUCGGUACAGUGGUGCACGCUCAGUGAUAUCUUCUUACCCUUGUUCUCUUGUUAUUACUCUACAUGCAUAUAAUAUAUGUUGAGCCUAGCAUCUAUACUAUGUUUCCUUGUUGCUCUACUUAGCUGUUUUGCAUAUCCUGUAUCAUGUUUAGAGUAGAGCGGUUUCGUGAUUAUUUGUGAGAUUGUGACCUAGUCGGUCAGUGCGUUGCAUCUGUUUUGUGAUCUAGUUGGUCGGUUGUUGUAUUCCGUAUCUGUGACCUAUUCGGUCGGUUUGCUGCAUUGUUGUCGUGACCUACUUGGUCGGUUGGACCACUUGAUGACCUAUACGGUCGGUAUGCCUUGAGGGGCAGAAUUGUCGGCUAGUGGCUGACGGUUAGUUCUGGAUUAAACCGAUGUAUGAUGUGACAUCCUUGUGGCCUAUUGGUCGGUUCUUGUGUAUAUAAAUGUUAGUUGACAUUGAGUGGUCGAUACUUGCACGUCUUCGAAGGGAAGUUGAGUUGUUCCAUCCUAGUUGACCUGAGUGGUCGGUACUUGUGUUCCUUACAGCUCGAUGACCUAUUAGUCAGUGUGCCUCGAGGGGCGGUGAUUGUCGGCUAGUUGCCGACGGAUGGCUAUUGAGCAUAUUAGUAUUGAUCGCCACUGCUCGUACGCAUUUCACGAACACCAGCGGUUUGGCCACCGCAAGAGGGUGUUCUUUUUCGAAAAAGUGGUUUGGAGUGCCAGCCCGUGAAACCCAGGUGCUUUAUGUAAGGGUUAUGUGCUUUCAGAUCCGUGUGCUUUAUGCGAGGGUCAUAUAUCUUUCAGACCCGGGUGCUUUAUGCGAGAGUCAUAUACAGGUUGAGGAGCUGUGGCACAGGCCUGAGGUGUUGCGGACCAAUAUGGCUAUUUCAAAUUGGGUAUUUGGACUUGUCGUCCGGUUGAUGCAUACAUACAGUAACCGUGGUUGUUUAUUAUAUCUCUUGUUCAUUUAUUAUCGUUGCUACUGUAUUACACUUACCCCUAUCUUUGUUAUUCUCCUUGACUGGUGAGCACCCCUCGCCCUCGCCGGCUUGCGGUACCCACUUGGAGAGGAGACAUGUGUACAUGUUCUCACCCCCCACCCCGAUUACAGAUGACGUCGCUGGUUCUAGUGGGACGGUUCGCGAGGAGCGUACUUAGCGGUUUGGUAGAGUUUACGGACCCGUCCAUUGGUUUAAACUCUAAACUUAGUUUAUCUAAAUAAAUAACUUAUACACCAUUUAUGGUUCAGUACUUUUAUGUGAAUUGAAUAUUUGGGUUUUCGUGAAUAUAAUAAAGAAUUUGUGGAAUCUUGUGAAAUGAAAAUGGUUUUCUAUCCCUCAUGAUAGUAUGUUUUAAAAGAAAAAGGUUUCCAUGUGGAAAACAGUUUUUUAAAGGUUUUCUCUUAGUUUUCAUGACUUGGAAUUUUAAAACGAGUUUCCGGGUAGGAAACAUUUUAAACUAAUAGUUGUGGAUUUAUAGAUAAACUCUGAAUGUGAAUCUAAAUAGGAAUGGUGUAUGAAUGCGUGUAUAUUCAUAUGUAGUGGUUGUAUCCUAUAUUAUGUAUCUUGUACUUGUGCGACGCCGUGCAAAUAUAGAGGAGACUCUAUCCGUGUGAAUAGUAGACUCUCUAUAUUUAUGGCAGAUCUAGCAUACCGUAGGGGUCAGGUUUUCCAAAAAAAAAAAAAAAAAAUUGGGCACUUCCGCUUUGCUUUUAAAUCAAAGAAGGAUCCUGGGGCGUGACAUUUGAAUACUUAAUCCCCAUGUUGAAAAUAAAUUUAAGAAAAAUUAUUCGGAUCAUAAAUCUAUAUUUGAAGGAAAUCGGAUUUAAAUUCAGAUUCAAAAUGUUAUCAUUACUACUGAAUUCAAAUUUGAGUUCGAGUCCGAUUGGAUUAGUCAAAUUUUGACACAUGAUCAGAAAUAUCCAAACCAUUUUAACAUUAGAUUCAUGUCCCUAUCAUGCAAUCACCACAUCCAAUAAAUUCUACCUUUCCUAAUUUAAAUAACCAUAUUUUUUUAAAAAAAUAAUUAAAUUGUUAAAUUGUAAUAAAGUGCAUUCAAGUUCUCUUUAUGGAAAUUCUAAGCCUGAGUAUGUUAUAGAAUUUUUGCUUGAUUGGCUAUGUUUCUUCUCUAUCCUUUCUUUUCUUUUGAGUGACUCUCAUUCUUUUACUUUGCCCCUUAUCUCAAAUAUACUUUUCCAUAAAAUCGUACUUCAAUUUAUGUCCUGUAUUUUACCACUAUUUUAAAUACAUCCAAAAAUCUAUAGAUAUAUUAAAAGUUAGGUUCUAACGGGGUUAUGUGUCGCGUCUCCCAUCGCAACAGGCGGGGCCGCAUGGGCGUGUCGAGCGCACAGUGCAGCAUGGCGGCGUCGGACGGGUCGCAGGCGCGAGUGGCAGCACGGCCGGGCGCGCGCGGGUCUCCCCUCUCCCUCUCCCCCCUUAUCUCCUCUCCUUCCCCCCACGCGUUGGGCGGCGCAGAGCGCCGCGAUGGCGGCGCGGGCACGGCGGCGGUGAGUACAGCGCAGCGCGGGCAUGCGCGGUUGGGCGGCUGAUCGAGCCCCUGCCCCUCUUCUCCUCUCUCCAUUUCUCUCUUCUCCCUCACCCUCUCCCUCUCCCUCUUCCCCACGGCGGUCGCGGACGCCUGAGCUGAGCGGCGGCCAGGUGUGGCGAGACUCGAGCGCCCCCCCCUACCCCUCCCCCUCUCCGGUCUCUCUCUUUCUACUCUUCUCUCUCUACUUGACCAUUAAAAAGGUAAGAAAUUUAAAAUUAAAGUUUAAAAUUUAAAAUUUAAUAUUUGAAUUUUAAAUUCAAUUUAUAAUUUAAUAUUUAAAAUAUUAAAAUUUGAAAAUUAAAAUUUAAAGCUUAAAAUUUAAAAAUUUUACAUGUUAUCUUAAUUACUAAAACUAAAUUUUAAAAUUUUACAAUUUUAAAUUUAGAAUUUCAGUUUCUAAAUUUUAAAAUUUAAAUUUUGAAUUGCAAAAUUUAAAAUUUAAAAUUUAAAAUAUAAAAUCUAAAAUCUAAAAUCUAAAAUCUAAUAUUUGAAACCUAAAAUUUUAAAUUUUAAAAGUUAAAAAUAAUAUUUAAAAUAUAAGUCUGAAAGAUGUUAAUUUGAAAUUCAUCAAUUUUGAAUUUUAAAUCUGAAAGAUAAUUUAAAAUUCAACUAUGAAAUCAAAAUUUAAAAUUUUAUUUUAAAUUGAAAAUUAAACUGAGAUGUUAGAUUGCCGAUGUUGAUCCGCCGCGAAGCGCGGGCCCUAAACUAGUAUAAGAUGAUCACUGAAUUUGAAACUAAAACAUCAAACAUAAAUAAUUUGGUUGGCUUAGCUUCAUUUAUUCAUUUUAAAUAAACCAAACAGGCGCUCGAGCUUAGCACUUUCGCCAACAGAACCUGAACUUUGAUUAAAUCUCUCAAAUUUUGUCAAAUAGCAUAAUAGAUCUCUCUCCUCAUUCAAAGUUACAAAUUAAAAAAUAUUCAUGAAUUUUUCAUCACAAACUAUACACAUGAAUAGCUUCCUUGUGUGAUUGAUUAAAGUUCAUAUUCUAAAUACCAGCGAACGGGGUUUGAAGGAAAGCCUUUGCACUAUAUUGAUUAUUCUGUUUUUGAACGCUCAAUUUGAAUAUUGAAAACAAAUCUAAAUAUAGAUAUUUGAAUCCAAAUAUAGAUAUUUGAAUCCAAAGAGAAAAUUAUUAUUAUUACUGAAUUUAAAUCUGAAAACUAAACAAAUAGCCCAUUUUGAUAUCCGAAUCGGACCGUCAUAAAAUUUACAUUCUGAUUCGAUGGGAUGAUAACCCAACCAUUUUCAACCCUAGAAAUUAAGUGUACUAUCUUUUAAUCUUUCCUUAAUUAAAAUAAAUUAAAUUUUAAAAGAUUAAUUGGAUUGUUAAUUUAAAAGUAAAUAUUUAACUUCUUUUCAUGCAAAUAGUAAAGAGGUUUUUCCUACAGAACUUCUACCGGAUUUGUCCCUUUUUUCUUUUUUGACUAGCCCACAUCUCUUUACUUCUAAGAAAUCAUUGUGCUUCGUUACAUACCUACUCCCUAAAAACAAAUCAGAUUUGAAAAAUAAAAUGGUUUAAAAAAAAAAAAAACCUAUCAGGUCGAUAAUUAUUUAAACUCAAAAUUAAAUUAUCUUUUAAAUUUGAUUCACAAAUUUAAAUUUAAAUUCUUGAAAUUAAUAUAAAUUUUUAAAUUUUGGAUAUACAUUAAAAAAAUUAAUAUCAUGGAACAUAUAUAAAAACUCUGUACAGUGUAACUAAAUUAAAAACAGACCUAAAAACAAAUCAAAUUAAAAAUACAUCAAUUAAGAAAAUAGACUCAUACCACCUAUAACAGUUUAAAUAAAAAUUAUAGAGUUUAAAAUUUAUUUUAACUUUAAAUUUAUAAUUAAAUUAAGUUUAAUUUAUAAAUAUUGAUGUAUAUCACCCGUAAAGAUGUUUGUAGACUGGGUUGGGUCUAGAUAGUUGAUAUACUGUAUCCGUACCCUAAAAAGAAAUGGUUACAAAAAAAAAAAAAAAUCCUACCCAUUUAACUUCGGGUCGGAUUCGGAUCUGCGUACGUAAGUUGCUAAUAUAUCCAUCGAGUUUAUUUGAGUGGGUCUGGAUAGUGAUUACUCGUGUACUAUCCGUUCAUGACCGGGUAUGGGUAUCCCUGUAUAUAUAUAUAUAGAGUAGGUCUUGUUUGCUAUUAGGAGCACGGAGGCCUCCGUGCUCCUAAGCCAUUUUUAAUCAUGAAGCUUCCGAAUCGACGAUCGGCUCCGUUAGACUUGAUCUAGCGCAUUUGAAGUAUCUAAAAAAUAAAUUUUGUCAUUUUUCGAUAUCAUUUACCUAGUGAUCGAAAGGGUUUAAAAUCAACGGCUGAAAAUAAAAAUCUCAAAAAAAGUGGUGAUAUAGUACUAAAAUUUUCGAUCAGAGAUAUUGAUCUCGCUAUAAAUAGUAUAAAAAAUUUUCUAUCAGAAUUUUAUUUGAUUUGAAUACUUCUACACCGUUAAACUUACAAAUGGUUUACAUCAACCAUUAAAAAUUGUUGAUUUUGAAUCUUUUGAUCACUAGGUAAAUGAUAUCGAAAAAUGGCAAAAUUUAUUUUCGAGAUACUUCAAAUGCGCUAGAUCAAGUCUAACGGAGCCGAUCGUCGAUUCGGAAGCUUCAUGAUUGAAAACGGCUUAGGAGCACGGAGGCCUCCGUGCUCCUAAUAGCAAACAAGACCUACUCUAUAUAUAUAUAUACAGGGAUACCCAUACCCGGUCAUGAACGGAUAGUACACGAGUAAUCACUAUCCAGACCCACUCAAAUAAACUCGAUGGAUAUAUUAGCAACUUACGUACGCAGAUCCGAAUCCGACCCGAAGUUAAAUGGGUAGGAUUUUUUUUUUUUUUUGUAACCAUUUCUUUUUAGGGUACGGAUACAGUAUAUCAACUAUCUAGACCCAACCCAGUCUACAAACAUCUUUACGGGUGAUAUACAUCAAUAUUUAUAAAUUAAACUUAAUUUAAUUAUAAAUUUAAAGUUAAAAUAAAUUUUAAACUCUAUAAUUUUUAUUUAAACUGUUAUAGGUGGUAUGAGUCUAUUUUCUUAAUUGAUGUAUUUUUAAUUUGAUUUGUUUUUAGGUCUGUUUUUAAUUUAGUUACACUGUACAGAGUUUUUAUAUAUGUUCCAUGAUAUUAAUUUUUUUAAUGUAUAUCCAAAAUUUAAAAAUUUAUAUUAAUUUCAAGAAUUUAAAUUUAAAUUUGUGAAUCAAAUUUAAAAGAUAAUUUAAUUUUGAGUUUAAAUAAUUAUCGACCUGAUAGGUUUUUUUUUUUUUUAAACCAUUUUAUUUUUCAAAUCUGAUUUGUUUUUAGGGAGUAGGUAUGUAACGAAGCACAAUGAUUUCUUAGAAGUAAAGAGAUGUGGGCUAGUCAAAAAAGAAAAAUGGGACAAAUCCGGUAGAAGUUCUGUAGGAAAAACCUCUUUACUAUUUGCAUGAAAAGAAGUUAAAUAUUUACUUUUAAAUUAACAAUCCAAUUAAUCUUUUAAAAUUUAAUUUAUUUUAAUUAAGGAAAGAUUAAAAGAUAGUACACUUAAUUUCUAGGGUUGAAAAUGGUUGGGUUAUCAUCCCAUCGAAUCAGAAUGUAAAUUUUAUGACGGUCCGAUUCGGAUAUCAAAAUGGGCUAUUUGUUUAGUUUUCAGAUUUAAAUUCAGUAAUAAUAAUAAUUUUCUCUUUGGAUUCAAACUUCAAAUAUGAUUUUUCUUUAAAUACGAUUUGGAUUCAAAUAUCUAUAUUUAGAUUUGUUUUCAAUAUUCAAAUUGAGCGUUCAAAAACAGAAUAAUCAAUAUAGUGCAAUGCAAAGGCUUUCCUUCAAACCCCGUUCGUUGGUAUUUAGAAUAAGAACUUUAAUCAAUCACGCAAGGAAGCUAUUCAUGUGUAUAGUUUGUGAUGAAAAUUCAUGAAUAUUUUUAAUUUGUAACUUUGAAUGAGGAGAGAGAUCUAUUAUGCUAUUUGACAAAAUUUGAGAGAUUUAAUUAAUUGCUAAAAUCAAAGUUCAGGUUCUGUUUGCGAAAGUGCUAAGCUCGAGCGCAUGUUUGGUUUAUUUAAAAUGAAUAAAUGAAGCUAAGCCAACCAAAUUAUUUAUGUUUCAUGUUUUAGUUUCAAAUUCAGUGAUCAUCUUAUACUAGUUUAGGGCCCGCGCUUCGCGGCGGAUCAACAUCGGCAACCUAACAUCUCAGUUUAAUUUUCAAUUUAAAAUAAAAAUUUGAAUGAUUUUGAUUUUCUUAGUUGAUUUUUAAAUUAUCUUUCAGAUUUAAAAUUAAAUUGAUGAUUUUUGACAAAUNNNNNNNNNNNNNNNNNNNNNNNNNNNNNNNNNNNNNNNNNNNNNNNNNNNNNNNNNNNNNNNNNNNNNNNNNNNNNNNNNNNNNNNNNNNNNNNNNNNNNNNNNNNNNNNNNNNNNNNNNNNNNNNNNNNNNNNNNNNNNNNNNNNNNNNNNNNNNNNNNNNNNNNNNNNNNNNNNNNNNNNNNNNNNNNNNNNNNNNNNNNNNNNNNNNNNNNNNNNNNNNNNNNNNNNNNNNNNNNNNNNNNNNNNUAUAUUGUAGAUUUUAUUAAAUUAUCUAGACAGAACUUAUUUCGACCAUUAUAUUAACUGAUUAAAGGCCUAAAAUUCAAAAUAAUUUUAUAUGUAAACACAUAAAAAUAAAAAAAUUAUGAUGUCAUAUUAUAGAUAAAGAGAAUAUAAUAGUAAUUACUAAUAUUAUAUACUAAUAUUCAAAAAAAAAGGAAAAAAUAAAGCGGAAUCAGAAAAUUUACUAAAUAGAAUAUUCAUUAAAAAAAACUAGUUUGUCGACUUGAUUGGAGAAGGAAUUUGUAAAAAACUCACUUGUACUCGCCUGCAGAGAAUUAAUAUCGUUGUUGAUGACGACGAUGGAAAUAUUAUUUCACAAAAAACUUUUAGGCAGAAAUGAAACAAAAAAAUAAAGAAUAAAAAACAAAGAGUAAAAAAUUUAGAAAAAAAGAAAGGAGUAAAAGAGCAGCUAGGGUUUCAGUAUUUCACUAGGAUGAAAAUACUUAGAGAUCCCUCGUCUAUAAGUACUAUUAAAAUUGAUCCAUCAACUUCAAAAGUUCCAAUCAUUUUUAUUUACUAUCAAAUAUUCCAUUGGGUUCGGAUCCGGGUUCAGAUUUAAAAACUAUUCCGGACCCUACCCAUUUAAAAGUUGGGCUCGGGUUGGGUCCACAUCAGGUAUGAAUAUAAAAUAUCCGGACCCAUAUCCAAAACUUUAAUGGGUAAUUUUUUUUAUCCAUAUACUAUUCAUUUUUUAUCGGGUCCAGGCCGGGUAGGGUCCGGGUCGGGUAUCGGUUAUCUCGAAAUAUUUUGGAACAGCUUAAUCCUCGAUGCACUAGAUAAACAAAUAUAAUAAUAAUAUAUAUAUAUAUAUAUAUAUAUUAUAUAUAUAUAUCAUAUAUAUAUAUAUAGAAUUAGCACGUACUAUACUAUAAUGCAUUAAGCGCUAUGUUGCUAUUAUAUUUUUGGCCUUUUGGUCGUGAAGACAAUGUAUGCGUUAAUGGAUGUGUGGAUUCUCUUAAAGUUGAUGUGUGAUGCGUUGGUUGAAUAAUAUGACUCGUAACAGAAUUGAAAAUAGUUAAAAAGGGUAGAUUCCUAACGGUGAAACGGUAAAAACUUCGGACAUCGCCGAAAGACAGCGCGUUCUCCUCUCACUACCAAAUGGCUUUGGGAUUCUCACUAUCAUUCAUCGCUUGAUCUUCGAGUAGCAGACUGCAUAUAUAUCUAUCCCUACUAUAUUAAAACGUUAUAGGAUUUCUUACCAUGAAUCAAAAAGGAAUUAAAAAAAUUUUCUACAAAUGGUUUUGAUCAAUUUGUUAAAAAAUUUAUCAAAUAAGAAUGAACAUUAUGAUCAAUCUGUUAAAAAAUAGUAUUCCUAUCUAUCUAUAUAUUCAAUCCUACAAAUGGUUAUGAUUAAUUUAUUAAAAAAUAUCUCAAAUAAAAAUGAAUGAUUAUAAUCAAUCUAUUAAAAAAUAGCAUUCCUCUCCUUACAUUUUAUACUAAAAUUAAAAUUUAAGUUUAAGUUUAAAUCAUGAAUUAAAUUUCAUUUUGGAUAUCAAAUUUGAAUUAAUAAUUAAAAAAAUUAAUUACAUGGAUAAAGAUUAAAUUUUAACAAAUUUAAAUUUAUAAAUUUUGGAUAUAAAAUUUGAAUUAACAAUUAAAAUAUUUAAUUACAGUAAAUCAAAAUUAUAUUUUAAAUUUUAAAGUAAAUGUGAAUUAAAUUUUGACACUUUUAUUUAAACUACAUAAUUAAAUUUUAAAUUUAUCAGAAUUUAAAAAAUAUAUAAAAAAUAAUACAGGAUAUUGCAAUUUUUUUCUAAUAAAAUAUAAUUUAUGAAUUUAUAAAAUAUAAUUUUUAUUAUAAAUUUUUAGAUAAAUAUAAUGUAAAAUAACUAUUACGUGCAUUUAUAUGUACACUCAACGAUAUCUAUAUAUAUAGCUAGGGCUACUAUAUUUUUAUGAGUAUAGCCCCUCUGUACUCAUUAGUUUUCGGCCGUUGGAUGAAGGGAUGUGUGGUUAGUAUGACAGUAGUCUUCAGUUACGUUGAUAGUGGUCCACUAGGGUUGAGUGGGUGGUUGGUUGAAUAGUAUGAUUUAACACGUGAAAAUGGUCAAAAGGUAGAUCUAACGGCGGAAAACUUAUGAGUACAAGUAGGCCUAUAUACUCAUAAAAGUAUAGUAGCCGGACUAUAUAUAUAUAUAGCUGAGCUAGAAUACUAUCGAUAGCAAACGGGCUCCGUUGCCACCCAUUUGUUUUCGAUGAUGGAGUCUCCAAAUCGACGAUCGGCACUGUUGAACAUGAUCUAUACCACUGGAAGUGUUUAGAAAUCAAAUUUCAUAUAUUUUUGAUAUUGUUCUCUUAUUUAUCGAGUGGACACAAAAAUGAAAGGCUGAAAAUGAAUAUUCUUUAAAAAAUGAUGAUAGGAGUCUUGUAAUCAAUAUCAAGAGUAUAGAUCUUGUUUUAAAUAGUUUAAAGAAUUUUCUAACAAAAAUUUAAUUGAUUUGGAUAUCUUUACGCCGUUAAACGAGAAAACGCCUCAUAUCAACCAUUAAAAUUACAAAUUUCGAAACCCUUUGAUUAUUAGGCAAAUGAUGUGGAAAAGAUUUGAAAUUUGAUUUCUAAACACUUUAAGUGAUAUAGAUCAUGUUCAACGGUGCCGAUCGUCGAUUUGAAGGCUUUAUCAUCGAAAACAAAUGGUUGGCCAAUGGAGACCGUUUGCUAUCGAUAGUAUUCUAGCUCAACUCUAAUAGUACAGUAGCCCUACUAUAUAUAUAUAUAUAUAGGGUCCGGCUACUAUCCUAUUAAUAGGAUUGGGACCCUUGUCCUUUCAAGUCGAUUUGAAUGAUCCGAACUUCAAAUUAAUAAUCGGCACCGUUGAAGUUGAUCUACACAAUUAGAAAUGUUUAGAAACCAAAUUUUGUAUUAUUUAAAAAUCAUUAUCAAGUUCAUCUUAAGAGUUGAAAAAUGAACGGUCAUAAAUGAAUAACCUUCUUAAAAUAGAGGUUAGACUUUCUCAGUUCGUACUCAGAGUUAUCAAACAUUAUCUAAAUAGUAUAAAGAAUUUUUAAUCAAAAAUUCAAGCAAUUUGGAUUGCUCUACACCGUUAAACAAGCAAACGGCUCAUAUAGGCCGUCAAAAAUUGUCGAUUUUACGACACUUUGAUCACCAUGUAAACCAUUAUCAAAAUUUAUGAAAUUUGUUAGUUUCUAGAAUUUAAAACUACUCUAAUCAACUUCAACGGCCUGCCGAUCAUCGAUUCGGAAAUAUCGAUCAUCAAACAACUUAAUAGACAACUGCUCCUAUACCUAUUAAAGAUCGAGCAUUAGCCUCUAGAGAGAGUAAUAUAUAUAUAUAUAUAUAUAUAUAGGUCCGCUACUAUACUAUUAUGAUAACGAUCGCGCCCUCGACUCAUAACUUGUUUAUCGAUAAGAAGUUCCGAAUCGACGAUCCACACCGUAAAUCGUUAUUUUACACAUUUAAAACUCUAGAAAUCAAAAUUUUCACUAAUUUUUCGACAUCAAUUUACGCUUACGAUCAAGAGGUCACAAAUUUGACAAUUUUUUAAACCCGGCCUAGUAUGGAUAAACUUGCUAACUUUAACUGUAAAAGAUAGAAUUUCUUGUAACAACCUGGACUUCUAAAGUUAUGAAAUACGUGUAGGUUGGCUCGGAAAACUAUUUGAAGAGUUCCGGUGAGAAAGUUCGGUGAAGUUCGGAAGCUUUCCGGCGUUUCGUGGCAGUAGGCGCGAAAAAGUAACCCGAAAGCUAUGUGGGCACCGGAAGCUACAGAUUUCGACAUAUCUGUGGAUAAAAAUGAGAGACAUGUUCGAACAUGUUUGAGAAAUGGUAACAUAUAGACACCGCAGAAGGAAUCGAGCGGAACUUUAGCGAAAUUGGCUUAAAAGCAUAGCGAAAGAAUGAAUGAAUGGAGUUCAUUAACGUCCAAUCAAGGUGAAGGUUAAGAAGAUCUUACAUAAAGUUAGAAAGUUUUUAGCAGUUUGUCCGGAUGCAUGAAUACGAGUCGAAAAAAGCUAAAAAGCCCCAGUCUGGACCAUAUUACCCUGUACAGCAGUUGAUGUUGUAUGCGGUAACAUACAAGCGAGCCCGAAAAGAAGGCAACUCUCGACAGUUGGAGUGAAAAAAGAGACUGUUACACCGGUGACACGAAAGUGACCGUACCUUUGCAAACUGACAAAGAUUUGGUCUGCUGCAAUUUACCAUUGAUUGGAGGGGAUUUAUUUGCAAUUGUACCUACAACUAAAAUCCCUAAACCCCUCCCUCACAGCAGAUCUCCUCUCCCUCUCUCUCCUCUCGUGUCUCUCCCUCUCCCUCUCAACCGAUUGCAAGACAAGGAGAAGCGAAAAGAAGAACAAGAAAGAAAAAAAAAGAAGAAAAAGAAGAAAAUGAUCGAGAAGCAGAACGCUUACCUCCCAUCUUCAUCUCUCAUGCUGGAGGAGCUUGAGAUGUAAACCAUUUUCCUCUCAUGGGCGGAUAAGUUAGGGUUGGUUUUUUAAACCCUAAUACCUGAGAUUUGGAGCUUCUCAAGAUGUUUAAACGCAUUGGAGAGCCAAGAAUCACAUGAAAUCCAUGAUUCCUCAAAAGGCUCUAAUCGUGAAACCCUAGAGUUGUUUUAAAACAUGCCCUAGGAUGAUUCUAAUUAACGGAAGUAAUUUAGAAACUUCUUGGGUGAUCAAGCUCGAUUAUGCAUAGCAUCAUGACAUCAAUCCCAAGAAAUUGAUUACGGAGCAUUUAUGUUAGGGCACCGAAAAUGGGUCUUUUUGCCUCCGGGUUUUAAAGGCAAAUUGUCCUGAGGAAACCAAAAUUGGCACCUAACAACAGCGUUGACACCGCUCAGCGGCAAUCCACCGACGAGCGUAACGCGAAGUUAUUGAGCCGAAACGGUCGUUUUGAUACAGAUAGCCCGCAGCAACGCGACAUAACGGUCAAAAAUCACUGAAGAUCGGAACUAGAACUUGAUCCCAAGGAAUAAACCCGGAAAAGACGGAUCGCGUCGGAGGUCGUUUGGCAAGCGCGGCAAGAUUCGGGAAGGCCAAAACCAGAGUGUGGGCAAGCGUUGCCGCCCAAGGCCGAAUUGACAAGAACUACCAACAAUCGACGCGCGUGUUAUUAAGGUAGUGUUUAACCGAAACGCACUAGAUCGAAGUGCCUUUAGUCUAAAUUCCUAAGUAAGACUUCAAGUUGAUGCAUUUAUGAUACGGCAUAGCAUGAUCGCUAAUACGAAAAUUCAUAAUACAUGAAUAGGAUGCUAAAAGGUUGAUACAUAUAGAAUGUAAAGUGAACGCAACUGUAAAGAGCCUGGACUAAAUAAUAAACAUGUUGAGAGCGUGAGUAAAUGCUACAUAUAAAUGGCAAAUAUGCGAAAAAACUUAAUAAAUCUAGGAUAAUAUGUGACAUCAUUCAAGAAUAAGAUUAUAAAAAUGCAAAUCCAUAUUCGAUGACAUAAGUUACAAUGAUGAUAAUAGAAAGGCAUCGAGUAACACAUCAGAGAGAGAGAGCAUAAUGCUAACAAUAAUUAAUAGAAAGCAGAGGGCAUAAGUGAUAAAGGAGAAAAUGCAUGUUGAGACACUUGUGGAGACAUUAAAAUAUGCUAAUAAACAACCUAAGUUAACUAAACCCCUAAGAAUGACAUAAAUAAAUAAGCAUAGCUAAAGUAGAUAGAUGAUAUAAAGCAAUCACGCCAAUGCAAAAAACAAGCAUAAAAUAUGCAAGUAAGUGCAGAAAAUGCUAAAGAUAAGGAUUAUGUAGUGACUGAAAUAGAACACCUAUAGAAUACGCACGUAAGACAUAUAUACACCACUAAGUCUUUGGACAUUGUAGGUUAAAUAAGAAGAUCAAAAAACCUAAAAUUACAAAAGAACAAAAGGUUGUGGAAAAUGAAGAAGUAUGCUUAAACCAUACAGUCCAAAGGGAAACCCAGGUUGAAAAGAAAUCCAUAUCCUAAGUGUAAAUAAACCCUACGCAAACAAUGUAAAGCAAUAAAAUACAAAGUAAAUAACAUAUUGUGAUAAAAGGAUGAGAACCUAGAGUCAAUAUGACCUUAGGAGAUAAAGGCUUAGUACCUAGAGAGUACAGAAUUCCAAUAGGUUAAGACCAACCUUGUAAUGGAAUGGAAUUCCGGAAAUCCCAAAGCUUGCUUGAUGCAUCCCAAAGGGUGGUGGGUGUGUGCGACGAUUCGCCGCCGCAGGGCUAGAAACCCUUGCUAGGGCUGUUACGAACGAUUUGCGCGGCGAGGACUGGUUAGCCAGGUUUGGACCGCGGUACCGCCGUUGACUAACCACUUGCCCGUAGGAGCCUGCGUGAUCGACGAUUUCGCCGCCCAGAGGUGACAAGUCAUUGAACGCUAGGCACGUUUUGGAUAGGUGUCAGUUCGUUGCGGCCCGCCAGAAAAAGACACGCUAUGGACAAGAGAAGAUAAAAGGUUAGCCACCCCACUUGUGCCAGCUGAUGGGCUGCAUGUGAGCAGCUCUUCAACCUCGAGCAAGACAGCGCGGACAUAACGCGAAAAUUACGCAUGAACACCUCCACUAAGACAAAAAGAAGUCAGGGAUGCCCUAAAUAAGACUGGCUAAGAAUACAACGGACCUUCAGAAGUAGAAUGCCAAGCUAAAAAGAAAUAGCAAUCGUUCAACGAGUCGUUAAGAGAAAAAUAAGCUAAAUAACAAGAAUAGCUAAAAGAAAACGUCUCAAGAAAGGAAUAAAUAAGAGCUAAAAGUAAGCAUUAAUGGCCAAAGAGUAAAUAAUGCAUAAUGAACAUAAUAUGUUAAAAGUAAGACUACUCAUGAUUCCAGAAUAUUGCAUAUAUGCAAUCGGAGGCAGACAUGUAUUUCAAUUGAAUACUAAUAUCUGUUGUACUAUUGUUGACUCAACAUGUUGGGCAACAAAGUGGAGCUCUAAGAACUGUUGCAUGAGCUGUUCUAUCAUUGGGUGCUAAACCCCAACUGCACGGACUAGGACACUCACCCCAGGUUCUGCUUGGGGGUAUAGUACCACGUGUCCGGCCGGCGUCUAGGCAAGGAAUGUUAGUUCUCAGAUAGCGGAUCUCUAUUUAUACCCAGAGACGAGAUACAUACCAGGAGUGCUAGUUGGGAAGGUUUAAAAGACAAUAACAAACUUUGUUUUAAGUUAUUAAAAGAAUGAAUAAUUAUCGUUGUCAUUUGAGGUAAUGAACAAGAAAAAUUAUUUUGUAAAAAUCAUCUAAAAUUGAAUGCCGUACAUACACUUAGUAGUAUUAUGUUUCAUCACUAUCUUAUGCAAUCUGUUGAAAUGAAUACUGUCCUAUUGGAACCUCUCGUAUUGUUUUGAAUCGCGACCCUAACGUACAGGAAAACUCUCGUCCGUUCGGACGGUGGCGCAGCAGACUCAGACACGGCGCCAAAUAAGCGAUCCGGCCAAAUGGGCGGGUGCGUCGGGUCGGACAAAUUUGUUGAAUUUUACAGAAAAUUCAUUCACUACACUAAUAAAGUUCAAAAACUCCGAUCUUGAUAUCUGAAACGAUCCGAUCAUGCUUCCUUUAUAGACCGUUCCGAUUUUGACCGUCAUAUUUAUGGCCCACUUGAGGACUUAUAUGAUUUCGAAAAUACAAAAUUCUAUUUUCUAAAGUUCAAAUAUCUAGAUUAUUCGGAGUGGAUCGUGAUUCGGCAAGCUUCCACUCAUUUAAACCAACUUAUAGCACGAGGGCCCAAUACUCAUAAUACUAUAUGUACCAUGGCCUAUAUAUUUCAAAUACUUAGAUCAACUUCAACGCUCCGAUCAUCGAUUCAAUCACGAUCAUUUCAAGAACUAUUGGAAUAGGGACACAAUGUCUCCUAUCCUAUUAAUAUAAGUAAACUUUACCCUAUAUAUAUAUUAUAGUAAAUAUAUAUAUAUAUAUAUAUAUAUAUAUAAUAUACUAGGUCCGGUAGGCUGCUAUUCUAUUAAAAGAAUUGGAUCCACCGAUGUCCCUAAUCCAAGCUACGUUUUGAAGCGAUCUGAAACUUCAAAUGAAUAAUCAGCAGCCGUUUAAGCUGAUCUACCACAAUUAGAAAAUAUUAGAAAACACAAAAUUUUAAAUAUUAAAAUUAUUAUCAAGUUCAUUCUAAGUUUUGAAAAAUGAACCGCAUAAAUGUAAUAAUCCCUAAAAUAGAGUGACUUUCUCAAUUCAUAAUCAGAGUUAUCAAUGACAGGACUGAAUUUUGACAGUGCAACUACAAACUCUCUGUUGACGAUGUUUAUGCGGGGGCGGGGUAAUUUAAUUACAUAAGCACCUGCGUGAAGUUUUAGAACACGAAACUGAAUCUAAAAAGGAGACGAUACGGCUACGAAUUUUUAGAUUUCACUAGGCAUGAAUAGUAACAUUUAGGAAUAAUCAGAAAUCGUUUAAACACGAGGAUAACCACGGUACACCAGUUGCUCUGGUCGCUAUCGACCCUUCAUAUCAUCCAAUAAGCUCGUUUCAAGCCAGCUUCAUUGUUCUCUGGAAACUACCGGCGGACGGCAUUUGAGAGUUUAGAGAAUGACACACAAUGGUGUGCGCACGAAAAGCAAAAUACAUGUUUUAUAUGUAAUUGUAAUGUGUGAUAUUCAUUCUGCUGUUGGAAGAAAGUUAGAUUUCGAUCGCGACAACCGUGGAGUCGAUUCAUGAUGAACCAAAAAUCGUAGAUUUGCCCAUCGGUCUGACGCAUUGGUAGCAAUCCUUCGCUAAAUCUGACUACGGAACUGGUCGCAAAAUCACGAUCAACCACGAACGCGUUGCUCGAGGAAGUCGGUGAUCGACAAAAUGAUAUUUUUUUCAUAGGACCAAAUCAAUUUUUUUUUUUUUUUUUUUUUUUUUUUUUUUUUUUUUUUUUUUAAUUUAUGUAUCGAAUUGCGUGAAUCAACAUCAUCACGGAGUACAUACGCCGAAACGCGACANNNNNNNNNNNNNNNNNNNNNNNNNAUAUAUAUAUAUAUAUAUAUAUAUAUAUAGAAUUAGACUACUAUACUAUUAAUAGCAUUAAGCGCUUGUUGCUAUUAUAUUUUUGGCCUUUGGGUGAAGAAAUGUAUGGUUAGGAUGAUAGUGAUCCUUUAAAGUUGAGUGGAUGGUUGGUUGAAUAAUAUGAUGUAACAGAUGGAAAUAGUUAAAAGGGUAAAUCUAACGGUGAAAAACUCCAUAUAUAGUACCAAAUGCUUGGUACAAUUGAUAAUAUAGUAGCCAGACUCUAUAUAUCUAUACUAUAUAUUAAAGUUAAUAGGAUUUCUUACCAUGAAUCAAAAAGGAAUUAAAAAAAUUUUCUACAAAUGGUUUUGAUCAAUUUGUUAAAAAAUUUAUCAAACAAGAAUGAACAUUAUGAUCAAUCUGUUAAAAAAUAGUAUUCCUNNNNNNNNNNNNNNNNNNNNNNNNNNNNNNNNNNNNNNNNNNNNNNNNNNNNNNNNNNNNNNNNNNNNNNNNNNNNNNNNNNNNNNNNNNNNNNNNNNNNGUAUAAACUAGACUACAAACUAUUCGACGUAACAAAUUGGCAAAUAAUGGUCAAUUUGAUCAUUUCUUUUCUUCGUCCACUUGACGAUGAAUUCACUGAUGAAUCAUCGCUACGUUUAUUGCUUGCAUAGCCUUUUGUCUAACCGUCUUUAAGAACAAUCCUCGGUCGCAAUGUGCCGUUAACCUUUCUUAGCAUUAUCUCCUGACCUCGUAUAUUAUUCUCUAUCCUGUUUAUUGCCUUUCUUUGAAUCUUUUGGCAACUUUCCGAGUCCCGUAAAUGUAGAAAUGUAAUAGUAUAAAAAAAUGCUGCGCCGGAGACGAUAAAGCCUUGCUAUAGUUUAUCUCUUCUUCGAAAUUCCGUGACGUUUGGGGGUCUGAGGCGGAACACCGACGUAUCUUCGUAUAGAAAUGCGGCAAUCCUGGUGUUGCAAGAGUCCCAAUUGAAAAUGAUCUGCCGGCGAAGGCUCGCCUGUCGAGUCGUCACCUUCCUCAUUGCUUUUGGCGAGAUUUCAGAUUCGGCAACACCGCCUGUGCUCUUAGAAGAAGACCUUGGAUAGCGGAAUAAUUAGUUCCAUAAGUAGGAAAGUCAAUUUUCGUAAGUUGUCAAAUCACCUUUGAGUGCCUACACUAAUGCUUGCUGUAUCUUCUUCAUCUCCGCUCCGGUGCAUUGCGGUAGCCGGAUAUUGUGCGAGCCGGGAGGUUGUGCCGAUUCGGUGAGUCAUGGCGGUUCGUUACUUGAGUCCCGAGAAAUAGUCCUUCUCUAGAACCGACCCGUUCGUACCCAUGUAAUAAUUUGAUAUACUCGUAACAACUCUCAGAAUUCCUGUAAGUGUACGUUCUCGUAUGCCAAAUUAGCGCACAUGUAUCACAUGACUAGCUGAUGCCAAUAUAGUAAUAGUAAAAAUUUAUGAUCCUCCAUACGAUAUCAAAAUCAAAUUGACCUAAUGCCACAUUGGAUGCAAUAAAAAUAAAUCAAGAAAUAAAAGCACAGUCCUGUUGCUGUGCGGCCCUGUUGGACGAGAUUUACGGGGAAAACUCCAAAACUGAGAAAACCGACGGUACCAAACCGACAAAAUGUAUUUCACUAAGGAGAAAGAGAGAAUUAUGCAAGUGCAUUACCGAUCGGGGUGGUGUUUGACCCACGUCGACUCUCUCGCGUAACCUCUAUGAACUCUUGCGCAUCUCUGCCUGUGCCAUUGCCUACUUCGAUCCACGAACUUUCCUCACACUCGAAUCCAACCCAAGCUUCAAAUCACGUAUGAGACCGAAUCCACAAACGCCACUGUCCACUCAAUUACGACCCACAUCCGAAUCCACGAACUCGCCUUAAUCUCGCCGAAUCCACACAUCGUUCAUGAAGAACAUCCAAUUAUGUGAUUCCUUCGCUUAGAAGUUAUAGGUAUAACCAGGGAAUAGAACUCCUACAGCGAAGCGGGAGAUCAAUCGACAUAUAAAAUCGAAACAUAUCCGAUUUAGUCAAAGAUGUCUAAUUUGUAAAAAUAUGUUUAGAAUAAAACAUUGCGAAUCCUAUGGUUUCUGCAACAUUAGUAUUUAUAUGACUAAUCAGUUAAGAGAACCCCUAUAGCUUAUAUAUAUACUUUACGAAUCAAAACGAGUAGGAUCAGAUAAGUUUCUUUCCAAAACACACCAUGUACCGGAACAAGUAAAGCGUCCAGGGUACCAGACAUGAACGGAAAUCACAUGCGAAGCUGCUGUACCUGACCAGACUCGGCAUCUUGUACCAAACAGGCUGUACCCUGAACAGCCCUUGAUUAUUGUCCCGGAUACAUACAUCAACUUUUCUGUACAAACGCGAUAGGCGUACCCUGACAAAAACUCUUUUAUGCGUACAACAACUCAUUCGCUGAAAAUCAUUGUCGAAUUGUUUCGAGUUUUACAAGCUCUUAGAAACUUUCUAAUCAAUUACAACUUGAAAACAUGAUUCUAAAAUCUAUAAUUAAGUAUGAAUCACCAUAAACAAGAUUUAAAGCUUACCUAAGCAUCGUGAUUCAUGUUUUACAUGUUUUGCGUCCUUUCUGAUUCUUCGAAGUCUUGGAUUCUUCGAUCUUCAAUACUCCGCUCCGGACUUCUUCAAGACUCCGACUCGGCCGACGAAACUUGCCAACACAUAGGACCUAACACAAUCCAUGCCUAAAAUGACGUCGUACGCCUCCAGUUUAACGAGUUCUAACAUCCGGAUGGGCAUUAUCCAAUCACCCACUUGCACCGGACACGACGAGCACUCCGUGUAGGUGUUAAAUGACGAGUCGGGACCUUCGACUCGCCACUUGCCACUUGCUUCAAUGGGUAUGUCAUGCAUGCGUGCAAAUGCUCUACUAAUAAACGAAUGCGUGGCACCCGUAUCGAACAUAGCUCUGGAGGGAACUCCAUGGAUUAGAACCAUACCUGCCACAACAUCAGGCUCUUCAGCUUGGAUAGGCUCCUCGGCUUGGGCCUGAGCGGCGAACACCUAUCCGCUCGGCGCUGAUCGAGUCACCUCCGGUUGGCGUGGUGCCAGUGCACGCCCUGCUGACACAGGGACAUAUGGGGCCCCUUCCUGAUAAGGCGGGGGCGCUGGAGUCGAUGCGACUAACGGAGUAGACGAGGCCCUUGCCGGACAGUCGCGGCUGAUGUGUCCCUCUUGUCCACAAUUAAAGCACCUUCCCUGUCGCUGUCUACACUGCGGUGCCCGAUGGCCUCUAUCUCCUCAGAUAGGGCACCGCUGUGGCCCACGGCCCCACGACUGCGACCGCGGAUGCUUCGGGGGCCUCCUCGAACUAGAUUGUCCCCCCGAACCGCCACCCGAUCGCUUCUUCCCCUUGUCUUGGGAUCCGGCCAACAACUCGCGUUCCUCCCGCACGUGGGCAUCUCCAUGCUCUGCCCACAGCGCCUUGUUGAAAACCUCGGUGAAAGUCGUGAGCUGGAACAAUUGCACUGCCCGAUAUAUCCACGGCCGGAGUCCCCGCAAGAACCACUCGGCUCGAUCCGCGUCAUCCUUAACAACGUCCGGGACGCAAUCUAUGAUAUGGGAGAACUUCUGCUCAUAGUCCACCACCGAACGGUCUCCCUAUCUCAAUUUGCGAAACCUCUCCUUCAACUUCCGCUUCUCGGUGUCGGGGAAGUAAUUUCUGAACAUCUCCUUCUUAAACUCCUCCCAAAGCAUUGGUGGAAGGUCAGAGGGUCGAUCCUGCUUCAACCUCUUCCACCAUACCUUCGCCGCCUUUUCAAGACAAUGGGUGGCGAGGGGCACCUUAUCCUUCUCCGGGGUAUAUAGGUCCUCGAAGAGGGUCUCCAUAGAGUCAAUCCAAGACUCCACCACCGGCGGCUCCACCUUUUCCCCUUCAAAAGUUGGUGGUUUAAACUUCAUGAACUUCAUCAGAGUCGUCAGCGCACGUUCCCACUCCACUUCGUCGGCCGUCGUAUCAAGUGUCGCCGAACCCGAAGCUGUCGGAGGCGCACUUGUCUGCUGCCGCCAUCGGAACUGCCGCUAUGCCCUCACCCUCGACCGCUACCGGCGUGCGCGCCGAAGGUGCGGGCGGAUCGCGAUCUCUUGCCGCUGUCGCGGCCGCCGCCGCUGCCGCUUGCCGCUCCACGACUUCCUGGACCUGCUCGAACCGAGCCUCCUGGCGCUGCAUCGCGCCCAACAUCGCAGCGACCUGCUCCCGCAGCUCCUGCACCUUCUCCGAUCUUGGCUGCUCGGGCUCCGCAGAAGGCGAUACCGGAGCAGACCUGCGUACGUAACGCCUUGGGGACAUUUGCUCCUAAAAAGCAACAACUCAAUUAGUUAUCUUAACCUGAUAACUUUUUAACGUUCGCGAAACGAAACAACUCAAUAAUGAAAUCGGGCGGAAGCUCGCAAGUGCUCUAGUGUUGGACUCUUAGUGUUGCGUCGUCGGGCGCCGACACAACCACUACAAGCCAAGAAACUAGUGUCACUUGGAUCCGUCUCUAUUCACAGCUAGAGACAUGACACCAACUUCGACCCAAUCAAUCAACUUCCGCCACCGUCAAUGGCGUUCUACGUUCACCUCACUCGUCCCUCAUAACCUAGGGUUUACCAUACGGGUCUCCUAAGGUCAUCCUAGACUCUCUCCUUUACUUUCAUCUGUAUCUUUAUACCACUUUAUCUGUCCACCCCCAAGACCCGCUACCAUUUGGUUUGGCCCCCGGCGCGUCGAACAGACGACCGAAACGGACAGGACCUCCCCCUGUCGCCCAAUGGCUAGCCAACAAGAUCAUGUAUAAAAUUCCAGGAAUCAAUUCAAAAUACACUGAUCAAGAAGCAGCCACCAGUACAACAACCAAAACAAGAUACAAUAAUUUAAACCAUAUAGAAGUACAUAAAAGAGAAGGUUAUCUAUUACAUCAUUCAACUUAGUAAUUUGAACUCAACUUUUACAUUCUUCCAAAAAUAUAAAUACACCACUCCAAACCUCACCCUAUACAUGCAUUCUACUCUCAUAAUAUAAAAUUAAGGGUAGAGCAAUAAUACAAAAGGGUAGGCUGGCUAAUGUCAACUAGGGCGGCGGGCCCUUACCGCGAUCCUCACGCUCCGCCCGAGACAGCCGAACUCGACCUGUAAAAAGUUGGGUGAGAACUAACUUCCUUAGUUCCCAGUGGGUUCGGCCGCCGACUCCGCCGGUCUCCCCACUAGGUCCAAGUGGGCACAGGUAGAUAAACAGAUAGAUAGAUAUGGAAAGCUGUAGAAGCAGAUAGAAAACUACUCUACUAUGCUUGAAUCAUAAACAUAUGGAUGCAUGUACAAUGAAGUGGUAAGCGACUAACCCGUCAGCAUGUCCAAAAGUAAAGCUAUGCACUUAUUCAUCAAUCUCGUUUACUUGUUUCUUAAUCUCGUGGCUUCUCUGAAAGCUUGCCUACUGCUCACUAGCCAUCUCGAAGGUAGGGAGGGUCAACUCGCACUACAAACUGAGACCGUCUGCCGGGACCCAAAAUAGGCAAUCCCUUGGGACCCAAAAUAGGCAAUCCCACGUGACCAACUCCGGAGCGCACUUCUUGUGUGGGGCUUCCAUCACAAGCUAAAACAGACCGUGAGCAUGAUCCAAUUCUCUCCACUCUAGGGUUACUACCAUCAUGUGGUCCAUAGGCAUCGUAUACACCAAGUUCAACAUGUAUUACUUGUUUUCUUAUACACUAUCAACUAGACUGCCACUCGUCCAUUGUUUACUAUCGAGUAGAUGCCACUCGUCCAUUGUUUACUAUCGACUAGAUGCCACUCGUUCUUUGUUUAACAUUAGACCAACCAUUGAGCCCAUCUCUUUCUCUGCACUAUAGGAUUCACAAGUCUCGACCCAAUCCUUAUCGAUCCACUAUAUCAAGUAUCCAAUACAUGUUACGAUAUCAUCAAGGAAAGCAUAAGGAAAGGCAAUGCACAAUCAUCCUAUAAUGCAAUAAUAUAAGAUGCAAGAAUCGAAAUGUACUAAGACAUAGAAGGGGGCCCAGUUGCUUCGGGAUGGUCACCACCCACCUCUUGGUGAUGCCGCGAUGAUAGAAAACUUGACGUCGCGGUUCUUGCACGUCGCCCUAGCUCCUCGGGGCGAAGAGAGCCCUCAAGUACCCGCUCGGCGAUUUCUCCGCACCUGCUCGUCGGAUCGAGAAACUGACUUCGCCAACGCGUUCCGGGACCUAGCAAUUAGGUUUGUGACCUAUUAAAUUAGACCAAAACCCUAGAUUUCCAAAAUCCUAAUUUCGUGCCCUAGAAUGGCAACGGGGAAGAAAUCCGUGGUGCGAGCUUCAAUUGCGAGCCCGAACCAUCUAUUUAUCUCCUCUAGGUUCCAUUCGAACCAAUUCUAAACAAUAAAACCCAAUCCUAAGAAAUCCACCAUGGAUGGGUUUGGAGCUUACCUCUAAGCCAAGCUCCAAGCUUGCCCUAGCUUGAAGGAGAGAGGGAAGAAGACCUUCUUCUUCUUCUUUUGGACUUCUCCUUCCACUUCUUUUUCUUUGCCUUCCUCUCUUUCUCCUCCUUCUUCUUCUCCUUCUUUUCUUUCUAGAGAGAGAGAGGGAAAAAGUGUGAGAUGGAGAGAGAGCAAAUGAGAGCGGAAGAGGGGUUCCCCAGCCUCUAAUAAAGGCCAUUUUGCAAAUAGCCCCUCCAACUUUUCAUCUUCAGAAUCAGCCCUCUCUGGGCAUUUUCGUAGUGAGUGAUCGGUCCCAGCUCGAGGAGACCGGUCCCCGAAAGCUGCAAUUCCGAGCAGAGGGGAUUUCGCGUUCGGGAACCGGUCCUUGCCUGAGAGACCGGUCCCCGGGAGACCGGUCCUUGUCCGAGAGACCGGUUCCCGAAAGUUGGAUUCUCGGGACUUAGCCAAAUUUUGGCUAUUCUCGCUGGGCUGACGUUCGGGAACCGGUCUGUCACGCCCCGGGACCGGCGAAGGCCCUCCCGGUAGCGCGCCCAAACCGGCCGUAUGUCUACACAUAUAAGGCGUCUACAACAAAAGCGGAAGUAAAGCAAGAAGUAGAACAAAUAGCAUAGUGAUAACUAAUGAUAUCAGAGCGAGUAAAGUUCUAUCAUCUAAACCAGAGUAAAAGAAACAUAACUAAACAAUAAAAGUAGCCAUAAAGUAGUACAAUACUAUCUCCUCAAAAGAAAAAUAAAGAUCCAAAAGAAGGGUGGUCUCUAUACAUAAACGGGUACAACUCACAACCUCUCACAAAAUAAAACCACGAGAGAUAGACCACCUAUCAAAUCGUCCUCGAAAGAAGCUAGCUCGAAGCAACUCCCUUCCCGCGGUCCCUAGCCUCUCCCGGCGUGGAAGGCUCUGAAAGAAAACAUAAAACAGAGGGCGUGAGAACUAUAAUUUGUAGUUCCCAGUAGGCAAUUACUGACCUUAGCUCAUUGCACCGCUAGGCCCAAAAGAAAAGGGAUAAGUAACGACAAAUAGUGAUAAGCGAUAAUUGGCGAGUAUAAAAACUGUUGAAAGGAAGCAUGAAUGAAAUGCUAUACUACUAUGUCUCCAAUAAGCAUGAUGUCAUGGUGAUGUACAUCUACGCUAUCAUAAAGUAAUAUAUCCAAUGCAUACUAAUAUACCUCAACAUGAUGAACAAGUAAACCUCACAAUACAAUAUGUCAAAACAUAAGGAGUAAGUUCUAUCAAGACAACCCAGUAUAUUAUGAUGCACUGCAUGAAACCGGCAAGUGUACUAUAUACCCCAAUGCUAUAUCAUGAGCAUGUUAAGUAAUCCAACUACUAAGCCUAUCUAGUAGUGAUUAUUCAUCCUCAACACUGUGUCGAUUUUCUUUUCCAAUCAAGGACCUACCAAAGGUAGUCCAGCUUGUGCCGCCUAAGUGCCUGUGGUAGCCCAACAUCCCUACUCUUGGAAUGUGUCUGUCCUACUCGACCCCGUAUGCUUCUCAAUACCGCACGAGCGAACAUAGGCGUAGGCUAACUCCGGAGUGCCGACUUGUACGGAGCGACCCUCACAAGCAUGUGUGAAUGAGCACAAAUGGCAAGCAAGCAAGGUCAAAGUCUCAAGUGCUCUACUCUCAUGCCUCUCACAUUGCAAGGCCACUAGCAUCCCAAGGAUCUAGUCCAAAAUCUCAAAGUGACGCUCCAACGCACACACUUGCUUAGUGCCUCUUUACGACACUUAAACAUCACAACUAAUCAUGCCUAAUUCAUGUUCCAUAUUCCAAUUAAAACAAUACUAGCUAGGUUCACUUUAGCCCGGGCCCAAUGACUCUUUAUGACAUUGGCCCAAUCUCUCAAAUAGUCUAAGUCCUCAAGCCUCUCUAGGCUUCCAAAAAUUUCUAAUGUCAUAAGUGGCAAAUAAGCUAAAUGCAUGAAAGCAAGGUCCAUUUUCAUAAUAGGGAUCUUAGUUUCAGUCUCAACCAGAAUGCUAUAUCACACAUGUAUGCUCUCUACUACAUAGAGGCCCAAAAUUUUACUAUAUGCAACAUAGGCAUUUUAAGCAUUCUAAAAUUCAAAAUAAAUACAUAUAACAAGAAUAUGCAUGCUUUUUCAAUUAAUGAUACUUAAUUCAUCACAAAUGAGAAUUUCUCAUUGUGUGGCUAGGCCAAACCCACCGAACCGUCGCGUGCUCCUUCGAUUCACCGAACGGAGUUGUCCACGAGCCUCAAAAUACCCUAAAAGUAUUGAGCGAAGAGAUACACGGGCAUUACGAUCAACUACAAGAUCAAAUAUUAACUAACAAGACAAAAGGGCUAAAACUCACCUAAAGAGAAGAAAUCUCUUCCAAAGCUCCAAAAGAGAGCUAUAACCCUUCCAAUCCAAGCCCAAGGAAGGUUCUAAACCAACUAAUUUAGCCCCAAAAGCCCUAGAUCAAAAAUGCCCAAAAUCAACCCUACAAUUCCAUUCUAGGGUUCCAUCUACUAAAAACCUUCAAAUCAAAGUCUAGAGGAAGAAAAAGAGCAACAAACCUCCUUAGAAGCUCCAAUCCAAGCUCCAAGAGUGAGAUCUCCUCUUUGACAAGCUCCAAGUUCAACCUCCAAGCACCAAGGAAGAAGAGAGGGUGAGGAAGAUGCUCCAAGUCCACUAUUAGCUCUCAAACUUCUUCUUCUUCCUUCCUUCUUCUCCUUCUCCUUCUUCUUCUUCUUCUCUAUCAAGGGUGUAGAGAGAGUUGAGAGAAGAGAAAUGAGGAGAAGAGAGAGUGGAUGGGUCAUAUAGACCCCUCUAUUGUAACAAAAUCCAGCUAGGUCCCCCCAAAAAUCCAAAAUUACAACAGCCCGGUCUGGGCAGUUUUCGCCCAGAGGGACCGGUCUCUCCCCAACAGGGACCGGUCUCUCACUGCGAACCCGAGAAACCAACGUUCGGGAACCGGUCUCUCCCUGCGCGGGACCAGUCUUUCACUGCGAAGAUGAGCUCGGGGACCGAUCUCGCCCGCCAGGGACCGGUUGCCUCAAGGCUGCCGCAACACUGCUCACUGGGGGACCGGUCUCUCCUUCCAGGGAUCGGACCCCGAGAGUAAAAACUCUCGGGACUUGUCCAGAAUUUCAGUUUUCGAACUUUUUAGGUCGGAAAACAUUCUACAACCCUCCACCAAGUGUGGAAAAGCUCGAAAUACAUCCAAGCACUCGAACCUCGCAAUUUGCAGAGGUCCAGUGUGUUACACGGUCCCUCACCACCAGGGACUGGUCUCAUCAGAGACCCCCGCAACCCAGCCCGAUGGGACCGGUCCCUCCCUGCCAGGGACCGGUCCCCGAGAGCAUUUCUGCUCCCGUGCAAAUUUUGCACUGGUGCUCCCGCGGACCUUUCUUUAAUGCACUUUAUGCAUUAUAAUCACCUUCGGGCUUUCCAAAGCCUACACGCUCGCCAAAUAGUCGAUUCCAAUCGAAGUCUAAUCCCCGAAUUCCGAGGAUUCACUUCCUUACAGUUAGGGUUUCUAAAAGGUUAUCUCGCUCAAUACCUCACAUAUGGAGAUAAACAUAUCAUAUUUAUAUGUUUAGAAGACUUCUAGUGUCACGUCCCGCUAUCGCCAAUUUGGUCGAUCCGGGCCCGUACACAGACGCCGAACGAACAGCACCUCCUCUGUUCGCCCAAGGCUCAACAACAACGAAUACAUGUAUACAGAAAUAAACAAUUCCCAGGAUACAUUUCAAUAUACAUGGCUUGCACGAAGACAAGCAACAACACAAGUGAUAGUAAGUCUAACUAAACAUGAAAUCCACUGUAAUUUAAAACUUUACAUAACUGAAAUAUUUAGUUAUUACAUGCUUUAUAUACAUUCAUUUACAUGUCUCUGUACAUCGAAAUAGAUGAUACAUGAACCCAAAAUGGUAUACCACUAGUACUCGGGUGUCCACUAGCUAGGCUGCUGGCUCUUGCCUCGAUCCUCGGCCACAACACUCGCACUGGAACCUGUAUGGUUAGUGGUGUGAGAACUACAAGAAAGUUCCCAGUGGGUUCGGCUGCCGACCUCACCGACUCACCCACUAGGUCUACUCAGGCAUAUGUAGGCAAGAAAAGUAAAGCAGAUAGUAACCAGCUAUAAUAUGUAACUACUACAAUGCCUGUACAAAGCUGAAGGAAGUAGUAUAUGAAAACUGUAAAUAUGCAUGCAUGCUUUUUAUUAACUUUACCCAAUCUUUUGGUUAACCCUCUGGUUAACAAUAACUCACUGACGCUAUCCCAAAUAUCGGGGAGACGCAACCUGCACCCGACGGGACCGUCAACUGGGGGAGACGCAACCUCCUGGUCCAGUAAAGAUGACUACUCCGGAGCUCAUCGUUCAAGGAGGAGCGACCUCACUUGAACCAAACAAAUGUGAGUAUGAUCUGAUCCUCCUUUAGAGGAUUCAACUGACAAACACUGUCCCACUUUACUCUAACUAGUUCUUUAUGCUAGUUUUAUAAUUCCAAUGUCGAUGCUAACCAAAUCUCUAGUCAUAUGUCACCAAGUUCACUAUUGUUAUAGUCCAUGCAUUCAUAGGGUUCUAUGUCCACAUUCUAUGUUCAUAUGUUCUUACUUGCAUAAUGCCAAUGCCCAUACCCUAUAAUGCAUGAAAACAGAAGUAAAUAUGCUCAAUGAAUAGCAUAGACAUAAAAGGUGAUUCAAAGACUUCGGAUAGCACCACCCACC